GAGUCCACCAAGGUGACACCAACACAUUUACUAACUCCAUGGCCACCUCAAAUCAACCAGCGGUGGAGCCUGGAGAAGUGGUGAUGCGAGCCACUAAGUUUUAUCCAUUCUUGUUGGGGAAUUCAUUGGCAUUUGGUGCUUCAUUGGGCAUUGUCUUUUUGCUGCUACCAACAACUGGUUACGGUGUGCUGCACAUUGCUUUGGUCCUUCUGAUGCUAGGAUACAUCUACUCUGCACUAACAAUAUCACCUGCAACUCCAACUGCGGUGUGCUUCGUGUUUGCGGGCUUCCUGUUGUUCACUUUGAUUGUGGCCGUCAGGAUGGUGUGGAAACUAUUGCAGAGAUUUCCAUCAGCUUCUUGGGAGACUAUUGGUAGCGUCUACUUUCCCAACCGGGACUAACUCCACUUUGCACCCCCAAAUUUGUACCACUUUAAUAUGCAUAUUUGUCUGUAUUUGAUGGCGACAACGACGGACCAGGAUUUUUCUCCGCCCGCGCCGGCGGGGGGGGGGGUGCAAAAUUUUUUCUAACAAAAUAAUUUUUAUCUAUUUAAAUAUAUGACAUCUAAAAAUAUCAAAUAUUAAAUUUAAUUAUAAAGGUAUGUUUAUUUCGUAAAUAUGCAGUAUAGUCACAGCAAAAAUCAAGAUAAGAAAUAACUUUUGAUUAAAUAUUUUAUAAUAUCACAAACCAUCCAAGUUGAACAUUAUGAGAAGAUGUUCCAAUAUGUCGACUAUGCAAUAUAAAUAUAACUAUUUUCAAAUAAAAAAGAUAAAAGUUAUAUUAACAUACCUUGAAAUUUCAAUCUCUUUUCUUAGAAGUAAAAUGAGAUUUACGUUCUUUCAUAGAACUAAAUUUAUCUAUGAUUGAAUCAGUGCUAAAUUUUUCAAUAACUUCCUUUUCUAUGUAUAUAGUUAGACAAUCAUUCAAGAAAUUAUCUUCCAUCUUGUUUCAAACCUUUGUCUUGAUUAUUUUUAUAAUUAAAAAUGUUUGUUAUAUAGUUGCAAUUGAUAGAGGAAGAAUGAGAACAAGUUUAAUCAAUUAGGCUAAAUUGUAUAUUUGUAUAUGGACCAAUAAAGUAAUUAUUUUUGUUUUAACCUAUUGAUAAUUAUGAAUUGGGUCUUUUUAUUAUAAUAUAUUGAUAGGGUAUAAAUUGUAGUACAUUUAUAGAUAUAAGUUACUAGUUAACUAUGUUAUUUGACCUUUAUGUUGAGUAGAGAUUACUUAAUUUUGCUCUUAUAAUUCUAAUAGGUGAAAAGCUCAAUUGGAGAGAAAAUAAACUAAAAACGUGGUGUGAGGAAACAAUGAAAGAGAGGAUAAAGUCAAGAGAAGCGCAUUUCGCAGGAAUGAUAUGUUUCAAUAGUUUGGCAAUAACUUGAGCUACACAAGUCAAAUUGAGACGAUUCUUGAUUCAAUUUGAAGCUAGGAGGAUGCUCUACAACUUUAUGAGACUCAAAGUUUGAUUCUCACGUUUUCAUAGUAAAAAAUCCAAAUUCCUAAAGUAUAGUUGUAUUACGAUGCUCUUACGACUAGGUCUCAGUAUUUUAGCCAUAGUUAAAGUAAAAAUAGUUUUGAUAAGGACAAAGAAGGAAGUUCAUAAAGUAACGAUAAAUAUUAACGCCAAUGUUAAUCCUAAACCCCUUCGGCAGGUUUUAAAUAUAGUAUAGAUAUACUUCUAUUAUACUUAUAUAAUACCCAUCUGAAAAUAUUAACUUAAGAAGAACUUGCAAAAUACAUAUAUUUUUUAAUACUGAACUAAAAAAAUGCUCAUACAUGUAAUAAAAAAUACAAAACACGUAUCAAACUUUUUCGUCUUUCUUUUUCGAUGUUCCCAUAUUAUACUUAAAAAAUAAUAUUGCAGUUUAUGACAAAAAUUUGAGUUUGACUACAAAAAAAAAUUGUAUAACUUAUAAGUCAAGCAAAAAAUAACAAAGACUUAUAUGAUUUUAUUUUCUAUACAUAUGAAUGUAAUAUCGACAAUUUGAUUAAUAUAUCAUCCUUAGAAUUAUGAUUAAAAACUAUUAUUAAUAUAGAAUAACAUCUAGAAAUCAUAUAAAUGCAUCUACAAACAUAUUGGUAUUUUAUGCAUAAUUUUGCUGAACUUGUAUUUCUUAGCCAAACUUUUAAGGACUAAUUUUUCCUACACUGACAAUGUAUACACUGUUAGUAUUUGAUAAAUGAUAAGUAUGCAAAAUUUAAAUUUAAAAUUCAACAUUUGCAUAUAUAUCAUGAAUCUCACAGUGAUAAUGUAUACAUUGUCAGUGUAUAUAAAAUUUACUCAACUUUUAAUCCUUCUGUUUGGAAAAAUUGAAUAAUAUGCUUGCACUCGAACACACGUACACACAUGUAACAUUUUGCAUUAUGCCCAUUCUGUAUUUUACUAUGACGCAAAGUAACAGGCCUCUAAAAAUAUUCAUAAGUACAAAAAAAAAAAGAAUAAGUAUUGGGAUGAAAUACAGGGGCGAGUAUCAAUACGUACCGUGUGGUAGAACUUGACUAUAAUACCUUGUACCAUAUUAGCCGUAAUUAAAAAUUUUCUUUUAUUUUUAAUUCACUGAAUCCUGCAAAAGAGCAUUUUUUAUUAUGGUUAAUUACAUUUACUUCCCUUGAGCGUUAGCCAAAUUACUGAACAAUCCCUGGGAUUUAGCCAAAUAACAAACACCCCCUUCAAGCAACUUCCGUCAAAUAACAUGGAUGGAACUAGUGUAAAGACUAAAUCCCACAAUUGCUAUGAAUGGACUAGUAUAUCUUUAUUUUCAGAAUUCAAAAAAACCCAAAUAUCGCUUUUUUCAAGUUUUAAGAAAUCCAUUUAACACUUUUUAUUUUUUUUAACUUUAGUUUUAUAUCCUUCCACAUUAUUUUUUUAGCAGAAAGCAUUCAAAAUUUUUAUAUUCCAUCUCCUUCCACAAUAAUUGUUGAAGCUUUUUUAGUAGCAGCUAUGAAAGCAACAAUUGCAGCAGGCCCCGCCAUUCUCCGCCACAACUACAAUCUCCACCUCUGGAUCACAACCCACGUUGAGGAAUUAUGUCAAAUUUGUAGGAUCACUUCAAUUUUUCAAUUGGAUCAUGAUUUCAGCCUCAAAUUUGGCAAAAAUUGAUUAAAAAGCUACCAAAUGAGCCUAAAUCAGUGGGGGCUCUUCUUCUUCUUUACCCCUUAGAUCAAGAUCAAAAUCCACAAUCUUCACAAGAAACCAGCAGCAUAGAAAGAGGCGUCAACAAUGGCAUGGAAGCAGAAGAAUUCGAGUAGAAUAUUUGUGUACAGGCCAUUUCUUUUUCUUUUUUGUUUUGGCUCUCUUUUAUUUUGAUAAUUUUUGUGUGUUUACCUUGUUUAUUUUUGACAAUUGACUUUUCAAAAAAUUGCAAGUCCCAUUUUUUGUUGUUUUGGAUUUGUCAAUUCUUUUAGUAUAUCUUAGAAAAAUGGAAAAAGAAAAAUUCUUUUUUAACUUAAAAGAGUUUGUUUGUCAUGAUGUAAGAAUCGAAGACAACCUAAGAGGGGGGGUGAAUUAGGUGAUUUAAAAACUAGCCAAGAUGUGAGUCACUUUUUCACGAACUUGUCCUCUUUUUCUAAAGGAUCUCACAAAGGAACAAUUAAUGAAUGAACAGAAGUGAUUGUGAGUAGAAGAAAUAGGCAAUUUAUGUUGCAAGACAGUAAGUAAAGAGAUGGAAUAGCAAACCAAGUUUCAAACUCGACUUGAGUUUGAAUAUCACUUUAUAUAGUAAGUUUCUUCAAGUUGAUCAACUUACAACCAAUCUCUUGUGUACAAAGGAAGGAUCACUUCCUCCUUGCCUCAAGUCUCACUUGAUCAAGUAGGAAAGUUUUACAAUCACCCGGAUAACCCUCACAAAGCUACACUAUUGAAGAAAUUGAAACACACUUGAAAAGUUUAUUGAAAAUUGCACAACUAAGAGUACAAAUCUUCUUUUGGGAGUAUUCUCACACUUGAAUCACUCAAUAUCUGAUGUAGUAUCAAUGUACAAAAGUUAUUCUGAAGUGGUUGACUUUUUCGAUUUAUAAGAGACCAAAAAGCACUCUAAUAAAUACUGUCAACAGAUAGAAGGCAGUUGAAGAGUCAACUAGCCGUUGGUGGUGUUGGACAUCCGGUAGGCAGAUUUUUCGCGUCCGAUCGCAGGUAGUGAGUUGAAGAAGUUUUUUUUGAAAUGUUUAGGACGUCCGGUGCUUCAAUACUUUGCUUCCGAAGUGUCGCACCGUUUGUCGGACGUCCGGUACUCAGGUAUUGUUCGUCCGAACGAGGUCAGUGAGUUUAGAGAGCUGGGUUCAUUUGCUUCGGACGUCCGAGAGUGAGUUCCUUAUACGUCCGAAGUUGCUCGAAGGUUGUCGGACGGCCGAUGCAGACUUUUUUUGCGUCCGACACAUGCUUCAACAUUUGUUUGCCAGUUUUGCUCCAAAUCUGAAAAUAUCUAAUUUGGGAAAUAUUAGUAUCAUCCACUUGUUUUGUCAUCAUCAAAAGAUACGGACUGAAAUGAACAAUCUCCCCCUUUUUUAUGAUGACAAAACAAUGGAUGGAGCAAAACAAAUUUAAAGUAUAGCUCCCCCUUACACAAACUCCCCCUUACAUAAUGCAUCUCCUUCUUUGCAUUACGCUUCAGCUCAGAAGAAGUUGACUCCCUCUCACAAAGAGUUCAUAUCCAAUCCAUUUCUCCCCCUUUUUGUUAUCAUUAAAUCAACCAUGGCCAUAUUAAAUCAACCAUACUCAGUAUUUAUGCAACAAAUCAUGAGUCAACAAAUCAUAGGAAUACCAAAUUCAUUACUGACCAACAGACAUUCAUCCAGAAUAUUGUCCAACAGUGUCAGACAUUCAUCCAAAAAACAUAGGAAUAACAAGUCACGAGUUCAAAGCAUACAAAAAUAUCCAAAUAUUCUUAUAGACCAGCGGUGAAAGAGAAAGUAGAAGUCUUAAUACAAAACACAUAAAUUUUAAAGCACAAAGGAUAACAAGAACUAAUUAUGAACUACCAUGAGACGCAUGUGUCUAGGGGUGUCUAAAAUGUGAUCUUGGAGAAUCCAGGCCUUUUUUUAGUCAGAUGAAACUGAGUAGGGUCUUCUUCCUCAGUGUCCUCAUCCUCAUCAUCGUCAUCCUCUUCUUCAGUUUCUUCUUCAAUUACCGGUGCUUUCCCCUUGUCUUGUGGUUGAGAACUGGAGGCACGGUACUCUGGGGUGGCCUCAGUGGUUGGCUCAAUUCUAGGAUCCUUUUGGUGAGCAUUUUCAUUUUCAGGAGGAAUGGGAGGUACGAGCAGAUUUCUUUUGGCAACAAAGGUAGCUUUUGAUCAGAAGUCAUGGUCAUCAUCAAGUCAUCUUCAAGAAGCAAGCUAUGUCAUUUGAGAUUCUCAAGUAGAGUGAUGACCUCAAGGUUGGAUGAAGGAAAUUUAGAGGCUGAUUUUCUAGGGUGAAUGGUGAAGGGUGUCACAUACAUUGACUGGUCACGAGGAGUCCUAGGGGUGACAGGGAUUUCAUGAAGAUUUUUUCUCCUAGCACCAGUGACCCUCAAAAAAUUUCAGAUUUUUCCUCUCAAAAUAAGCCUUUGAAAACACAGUUGAUGCCCUCUCUUUUGGAAAUUUUCCAGAAAAAGGAAUUUCAAAAUGAUUGAAAAUAGGAGUCAGAAAUUUUUCAUAGGACAGUUUCCUACGGCUGUUAGAACUUAUCUUGAGCAAAAACUUACACAUUACAAAGUUAAAAUCGAUUCGGAUUUUUUCCAGAAAGCAGUAGAACAAGUAAAGUUUCAUUUUAUUUGCAUCUGUUCGAUGGCCAUCAGUGGGCACCAACAAGUUUGAAAUUAUGGUGAAAAUAAUCAGAUUCUGAGGGCUUAGAUCCUCCAAUCUAGCCUCAGCAGGAGUAUUAAAAUGAGAUUGAAAGUAGGUCAUUAAUUUUGCAACAUGAAAGUGAUGGUAUGCAGAGGGAAAUUCCUCGUAUGAAAAGAAGUUUGCAAUUUUGCCUUUAAAACCAUUUUCAAUUUUGGUUUCUAAAAUAGAGUUAACAAUGUCAGGAUUCAGUUCAAUGUUAACAGAGUUGAUACGAGAAAUGAGAUCAGUAUGUGAUCUGCCUUUCCUAAGAUUAGCAAAAAACUGAUAGAGCAUGUCAGGAUAGUAUGUGUUUGGAAUGGUUAACAGAUAGGUCCAUUUUUGGAAUUCAAACAGGUUGAGAACGGGUUCAAGAUCAAGCUUACGGAAUUCGUAGGGGAUAAUGGUUCUCUGGGUGAUGAAGCCCUUCUGUGAAAUCCAUUUGAACCUGUCUCUGACUUCAUCGUCGAUGAACUUGGGUAGAGGAGUGGGUUCAGUGGCAGUUUGAGUCUCAGGCUGCUCAGGCCGCUUUCUUUUUCCACUGCGCUGAGCGGAUUGUGCAGCACUUUGGACACCAGACCUUGUCCUUGGUGAUUUCCUGGUAGAUGGUUCCUCAUUGUGCUGAUCCUCAGCAGUUUUUUCUGUAUUCUGCUGAUCCCCCAAAAGGAUCAACAGUUUGCUUUUCCUUGGGCUGAGCAAUACUCUUCCUUUUUGCAGUCCUUUUACCCUUCCUAGGUGAUUUGGUGACAGUUACAUCUGCAUUGGUGGGCUGGACUGGUUCCUCUUCGUUGUCACUCACUGGAUGCUCCUCAGAUUGUUGUUCCUCCAUCUGCUCAAUAGAUGGUUCAGCAGAUGGCUCUCUGGUCUGCGCAUUCUGUUUUUUUCUUGCUGACUGUUUCAUUUUUCCACCACGAUUUCCAGUUUUCUUCUUGGGUGAUUUGAUGGAGGGUUCAAUAAUUUGAACAUCUUCAUCCUCUUCAUCACGCAGUUUGAAAGAGCGUCUGGCACUCAUGGAUCCCCCUCUGAUCCUCACCAUGAUUGAAAUGCAGUGGUGUUUGUGUUGUGUGAUGUAGUGCAAAUGAGUAUCAAACGGUGAAAGAGUUCAGUAUGAACUAUAGUGGGUGCACAAAUUGUCCACAAAGAGUGAGUUUUAGUGAUUUAGAAUUUUGGGUAGAAAUUGGGAUUUAUAGUGUAGUUGGCGGUUGGGGGAAAAAUAUGAAGUGCAAUUAACACACAAUAGGUGUGAGAAGGUGUCGAUCAGAGUAAUUUGUUAGAACUUGUUCCAAAGAGAGACGAAUUUUGAAUUUUGAACUGAGAGAGAAUGUGAAGAGUUGCGUCCGAGAUGAAUGGUAAGAAUGAACUGAAUGAUGCUGAGAAUUUCUUUAUAAGACUCAAUUUUUGAGUGUCGGACGGCCGAACGAAGUGAAGCGUCCGACACAAUCGUUCGAACCAGAAUAUUUCUGGAAAAGGAAUGAAGAACACUGUCGGACGUCCGUUCUAACUCAUUGGACGUCCGAUAGAGAGAGACCAGGAAAAAGACACUUAGAGACUUUUUUCUGAAACACCUAGUUUUGUUCUCAAGUACACAAAUUGAUCCAGUGGAAGGGCUUUUGUGAGGAUAUCAGCAAUUUAAUCUUUAGAGCAAAUAUAUUGAACACAAAUUGUACCCUUGUGGACAAGAUCACGAAUGAAAUGAUGCUUUAUGUCUAUGUGUUUAGUCCUAGAAUGUUAUAUGGAAUUUUUUGUCAAAUUGAUGGCACUAGUGUUGUCACAAUACAUAGGCACACAAUCAUACACCAAACCAAAGUCAUUCAAUGUGUUUUUCAUCCACAACAGUUGAGCACAACAAGCACCAGCAGCAACAUAUUCAGCCUCAGUUGUAGACAAUGAAAUAGCAUUCUGUUUUUUGCUAAACCAAAACACUAAGUAAUUUUCAAGAAAGUUACAUAUACCGGUUGUACUUUUUCUAUCUACCCUACAGCCACCAAAGUCAGCAUCAGAGAAUCCACAUAAAGGAAGUUCAUGACACUUAGGAUACCAAAGGCCAAAAUUCAAGGUUCCUUUUAGAUAUCUAAGAAUCCUUUUUAUCGCAUUUGUAGACACCAAAUUUUGGUGUAAUUUCAUUUGCUGUUUAUUUUUAAUUUUUUCAUUUUAGUUUUAUUCGAUUUUUAGUUUUAGUUUCUAGUUUUAUUUUUAUUUUUAAGUUGUUAGCAUAGAAUCUCUUGGAAAAUGAAUGAAAAUGAGAAAAUGAAAAGAAAAGAGGAAAGAAAAGAAAAAAAAAAAGGAAAAUUGCCCACAAAAUAUGUUUUAUGUCUUCUAAAUUCAAUCUUUUGGCAUUUUGUUUAUUUUUGUUAAGUUAUUUUGAAAAAAAAAAGAAGAAAAAGAAAAAAGAGAAAAACGAUGAAAAUGGGAAAUGGAAAAGAAAUGGAAAUUGCACUCUAUUGUUCUAGUUUAUUUUUCAUCAAAUGUUAAUUAUUUUGUUUUGGUUAUUUCUUUUUAUUAUUAUCAAUUUUGUUUGUUUCAAAAAAAAAAAAUAAAAAAAUAAAAAAAUAAAAAAACAUCUUCAUUUCAACCCCGAACUCCACUCACAAUAAAAAAAAAAAAAAAAACAUUUCAUUUUCCCUACCCACACACUCCAUCAGCCUCACCACGGUUUUUCUCCAUUUCCUCUCCAUACUACCACACCUAAAACCCACAACAACAUUCUCCUUUGCCUUGUUAUCAUCGACAAGGAGGGAGAGAGAGCUGUACUCUGCAAGCCGAGAGGAAAGAAAAGAAAGGAAGCCGCGCGAGCUGCAACCUUUAUGUUCUGUCCGAGCAAGUUAAGUGAGAGAGAUAGAGAGAGAGAGAGAGAAAGCAAAAGGCAGUUGCGGGAGCUGCUGAUCAUCACCACCUUCAUGAGCUCCAGCCAUCAAAACCACAGCUGCAACCAUCCGCAACCAGGACCAACACCUGCAGUCCUUGCGCGAGCCGAGAGGAGGAGAAGUUGACAGCUUUCUUGUCGCGUGUAUAAGCUUCAAUUUAAGGUAAUUUCCGAGCUAAGAUAACUUGAUCAGAGGUAGAUUAAAUUGUUUAUGGCCAUGCAUGUGAAGUUUAGGCGUUCGGAUGAUGAAUUGAAUAAGAGGAAAAAUCUGACUUUGAAGGAAAUGGGUUUGCUGAGAAGCUGAAAUGGAACUGCCGCUUUAAUCUUGUUUCUCUGAAGUAAUCUAAGCUCAUAAAUGUGAUUAGCUAACUAAAAAACUAAGUGAUUAAGUCUUGCAUGAGGUUAGUUAGCUCGGAUUAAGCCAGAAAAAUAAGAAUGAAAUGGAUUCUGUUGCAUGCAAGAUUAGCCGAGAAGAGCUGGACAAAUUUCUGGAAUUUUGGAUGAAUGUGGCUGUUGUCCGAAUCUGAUUUUGAACUAGAAACGUUAAUUAAUUAGUUAAGGAGUUGCAUGCUGGAUUUGAGUGCCAAAUACAAGGCUUUGGCCGAAAAAAAAAAAGCUGGAUUAUGACCAACUAAGUGCUGGAAAAAUUUCUGUUGUGCCGAGGGAGUGAAGCUGGAAUUGCAGCUUGUUUUUGGAAAUUUUCUUUGGAAAUGAUGUUUAGAAAUGCCUGAAAUAUGUGUGUCUUAAGUCUUGUAAGCUAUAUAGAUGUGAAACUCUUGAUAUGCUGGGAGAUUGAACUGGAAAUAGUUAAAUGAAACUGCUGGAAUUUUUCCAGUAUAGCCGAGUGAAGAAGAAAAGAUUUUUCCAGUUUUCUUUAGGAAUUUUGGGAUUCCAAAUUGUUCCAUUUAAAGUUUGACAAGCUGUAAAAUAUUCCACACUUGUUGAUUUCACUCUAGAAUAUUUUAAGAGGGUCAUGCAUGCGAUUACUGUUAAGAUGAUAUCCGGAAGUCUUGUCUGAAAUAAGAAAAGCUGCGCUUCAUUGCUCCUGUUUUGUUCAUUGGCUUUGCUUGCGUCUAUAAGAAAUUUCAUGUUUGGGGACAUUCGAUGGUAAUGGAGGGCAAAUUCCUUGCAUUUGGUCUGUAAAUGACAUAUUGGUAGAGCUUGUUGGAGUGUUUGCACGCAAAUAAAAAUUGCUGCAUCUUUCUUCUUACUGUUUCUUUCCAUGGUUGUUUUCUGAGCUUGCAUGCUUAAUUCUGUGUGGAAGGGAAGAAGUGGAAAGUUUAGUGUUGAGUUCAUGUCUUUGGGUCAAAAAAGUAUUUGAAUCAUGCCUAAGCACUUGCUGGAAAAUGCAUUUCAAUUUGCCAAAUCAGUUUUAUAUGUUCCAGAUUUUUCAACUUGCUGAACGUAUUUUAUUUUUGUUUGCACUGGAUUUUGCUCAGUUUUUUUUUUCUAUUUGUUUGGAUGAUGGCUUGCUGCCUAGUUUAAAGCCUUGUGCUUGGGUUUGAAAUCUGAACUGGAAAACAAGUUGUGUGUUGGGCUUUGUUUAGUUGCUGAAGGCUGAAUAAGAAAAUUGCAGAAACGUUUCUCACAUCAUUUUUGCUGCAUUAGUUUAAUGUUCCAUUCGGCAACAGCUUACAAGUCGGUUUCAUCACUUUGUUUGUACAUUUAAAUCUUGGGUUUGAUUUAGUUGAUAAUUGAUAGUUAAAAUCUGGGUUUGGUGAACUCGUUUGCAUGAUGAAAUCUCGACUGAAAUGGUGUAGAAAUCGCAAAGAGAUUGCAGCAGCCUUUUGUUUUUUUUUUUUUCCUUUACAUGUUUGCAUGAUUUUCCAGAGUUUGGCAUGAAAUAUUUCUAAAUUUUCUACCUGAUUGGAUGGUGGUGAGUAUGAAGUUUGGGUCUAGAUUAAAGUUGUGUGUUUGGGUUUGAAAUCCGAGCUUGAACAAUAAGCUGUGCGUUUGGUUUUGUCUUGGAAGCAAAAGAGAGCAUGUUGCAUUUUUAGUUGCAGUAGUUUAAGUCUCACGUAGCUUGCAUGAAUUUGCAUGGAAAAAUUGUUUCAAAAUUGCCUCUUAACCCCCUCAAGUUUCCCCUUAUGCCAGUAUGACCCAAAAAAUUGGGAAAAUCAAUCAAAUUGACCUCUCAAAUUUCUUUAGUUUUUGCAAUCAAGUCACUACUUGUUUUAAAUUUUACAUGGGCUGUUCACCUUCCUUUAAAUGCCUUGGAUUGAUCCAAUUUCAUGUUUACUUUUAUCUUUUGUGAUUAUUUCUUGAUUAAAGUGAUGCUUUGACUCUUUUAUUAUUUUUGAGGGUAAAUAAGUGGUUCCAUUCCAUUUGGGCCCAACUCAAGGGAGGUACACCCUAAUCCUUCAUUUCUUACUUGAUUUUGACUCUACGUGCUCCUAUGUGUUAUGUGUGAAUAUGCAUGCUUUAAUUCGCUUUUUAUUUCAUGUUUAAUUGCCUAUUUCGCUUUCUUUUUAUUUCAUUUUUCUUAAUUUGCAAGUGAUUUGAAGGCACUUGAAUGCCAAGUUGUAAUAGUUAGGUUAUUAUUUUUAUUUUUAUUCCGUUCCCCCUCCUAGAUUGUAUAGGCCUUCUUCCCCUAAAAAUGUAAUAGUUAGGGCCUUAGUUGCCUUAUGUGUCUUGCAUGUCUAUGUGCUAUAUGUUUCAUCGCCUUCUUAGGUUUUGGCAUCUAGAUAUGCAUGCUAAGUGUUAUGUGCUAUGUGUUUAUGAGUGUUUGGCAUGUCUACUCGCUUUCCAUGGCCAUGAAUGAAUGUAAUGGACGAAUGUACGUUUCCAAUAGUCCAACGCUAGUCGGAAUUCAUAGAAUGGGCUAGUCCAACGCUAGACCCUUAGGGAUUUCCCCUCGUUAGUACAUGUUUGCAUGUUCACUACAUUUCAUGCAUUUUUUUAGUUUUUAUGGCAUUUGGCAUGUCCCUCUAACCUUUUCCCUUUCAUUUUAGGCCUUUGCAUUUCAUGCUAGUUAUAGGGUCCAUUUGCCUGAGAACCCCCUUGGGUAAGGGAAACGAGCGAGUGUGGCUUCAAAAUAGCCUUAGCACGCUAGUUUUUCCUUCUAAUCAAAGGAAAAAUUAAAAUCACAAAAACUAGAGGUCAUUCCCGUACCCGACCUGAUGCAUUCCUCUAAGUUCAUGCAUUUUCAUAUCAUUUUCUCACUAUUUUCCUCACUAAUUAUAUAUUUUAAAUCCACAUGUCAUAUUCACACACUUAUUCACUUUCUUUACUUUUCACUUCACACAUUGCACCUAUUUUACUUAUAUAUUUACUAUUUUCAUUCACUUGCACACGAGCAUUUAUAUUUUUAUUCAUUUGCACACAAACACUUUCAAAUUGCACACAUGCACUUUUUUCUACACUUUGCACACUUACACUCUCAUUUGAGUCCUCAUUUGCAUCAUUCAUGAUUUUCUAUGAGGACUUUCCUUAUUGGCCGUCACGACUCGUGUGAAUGGGACCAAAAGCCUCAUAAGAGACAUUUCUUAGAUUUAGGAUUACAUUUCUCAUUCAUUAGUCAAAUCCAAUUUGCAAUACAUACUUUGGGUAGAAAAUAUAGGAAAAUAAGGGUUAAAUCACGCAACUAGCCUUGGUUAGGUCGAAGGGGUGCCUUGGAUUUUUAUCCUUGCCUUCCCCUUCGUCAAAUGUGACUCCCGAACCUUUUUCUUUGUUUUACGUGGACUAGGAGUCGUUUAAAAAGGGUUUUCUUACUUUUUUUCUUUAAAGAAUUCAUUUUUUGGGUGACUUGGUACACCCUAACUCUAUACCAAGUGGCGACUCCAUUUUUCAUAUAAAAACCCUUUUUGAACUAUUUUUCUUGGGUCAAAUCGUCGCAUUUUUAAAAGUCCCAUUUAGACCCAUUUUUGUUUUUAUCAACAAAAUUCAUUUUUCCCAAAUCAAUAAAAUUCAACAAAAAACAAUUAUUUUAUUUUUUCCAAAAAAGUGGGGCGCGACAGUUGGCGACUCCACUGGGGACUUCCUAAGUGGGUCCAAGCAUUUGACUUAGCCAUUCGUUUCCUUUUUCUACCCUUUUUAUGCAUUGCAUUUGGAUAUUAGGAUUGCAUUUUUCAUUUUUAGGACCUUUUGUCUUAUGUACGUAAUCAAACCAAUCCCUCGACUCACGAAUGUAUGUUUGAAUGAAUGUUUACUUGUUAUCUCGCGCUUGCAUUGCAUUUUGGGAGGUAUGGGUCACCCUAGAGCCUCGCGUUGGUUCUUGACCCUUCCCCUCCAAACGAGCACUAGCAUACGAGCAUACGCUUUACUUCUUUUAUCCCUUCUAUUUUUCUUUAGUGGCUUGUCACGCCACUCUACCCUAUUAGGAUUAGGUGACUCACUUGGACAUGUGAUCACGACACGAUGUGUGUGUAGCAUGUUCCAAUGGGUCACUCAAUCUUCCGCUUAAAGCUAUUGGUUGAUAGCCUUUAGCUUUUGGUCGAAGAUUGAGGUUUUGAUAGAUUCACUCAAACAUGUAGCCGUGACACGAUGUGUGCGUAGCGGUGUUUGGGGAAUCGCUCGAGCCACCGACAAAGAAUCUUGGGAUUGAUGACCCUUGAUUUCUAAGUCUGAAGGCUCGGGGACCUGAGCUUAUCGAGUCUAGAUGCAUUAGCGAAUCCCAACCUCAUGCAUCCAUAUUAGAUUUGCCUAGGGUAGAGUCGACCUUAUCCUGAGCUAGGGACACUAUUCACGAGGGGAGGGGUCCAACCCCUUUUCCUUUUUAUUGCUUUGUGUUUUUGAUUGCUUUAUCUUGUUGUUACAAUGUGUUAUGUGUACUAUCAAUUGCACUAACCAUUUUUUUUGUUUUCUUGGCCUGCAUUCAUGUGCCAUAGCAAUAAGGGGCCUCUUUGGCACUCUUUUAGUGACUUACCCACUAGAUAACUUACAUGUUUAAAUUUCAGUCAUUACGCUUAAUUUUUAAUAAGUACAUUUCAUUUUAGACCUCUUCCCUCCGAUGCAUUAUUUAUGCCCUUUAGGCCAUAUUUUUGCAUAUUUACAUUGCUUUAAUAAAUGGCAUCAUGCAUAAACCAUGGAAAGGGAAUUCCACAUAGGGAAUCCCGUGGUUAGGAAUAAGCCACCUUGUGUCUCGGAUACUUAAUCCAGUGAGACUUGCAUGUUUACAUUUUUGUACCGUCCAAAGGGGUAGUGCACAAGGUAAGGUAGGAUCCGAUCGUUUUCAUAGAGUGAUCUUUGGAAUAUGAGCAUCUAAUAAUCACUUUUUGGCCAUUUUAUCAAAAAUUGGUAAAAAUCCCUUGCGUGAAAGACAUUAAUUUGAAGAAAUUCACAAAUGAUUCCUUCUAUUGAGACGAUAAAUAAAUUGAGGCCAAAAUUUGAUUUUUAGAAGGUCAUAGACUAAUGCACCUCAAUAACUUUGAAAUAACCAAUGGCCGGACAAUUCAACCAAUCCAUUUUGCCAAUUCAUUCAACAAAUCAUCAAUUCAUUUGACCAGUUUACCCUUUUUAGGGUCACCUGGUCAAUUUUCAAUAAAUCAUCAAUUCAUUUGACCAAUUUACCCUUUUUAGGGUCACCUGGUCGAUUUUCAAUAAAUCAUCAAUUCAUUUGACCAAUUUACCCUUUUUAGAGUCACCUGGUCGAUUUUCAAUGAAUCAUCAAUUCAUUUGACCAAUUUACCCUUUUUAGGGUCAUGCGGCCGAUUUUUGAAUAAAUCACUAAUUCAAUUUCAUUCAUUUGGCCAAUUUACCCAUUUUUAGGGCAACCGAGCCGAUUUUGAAUAAAUCAAGUUUCGUUCAAUCUAUUUGAUCAAUUUACCCUUUUUAGGGUGAUCUGAUUGAUUUUGGAUAAAUUAAGUUUCAUUCAAUUCAUUUGACCUAUUUUCCCUUUUCAGGGUAAUCCGGUCGAUUUUUAAUAAAUUGUCAAUUUCAUUUGACCAAUUAGGGUUUCAAUAUCGAAUUUCAAAAUGAAAAACCUAGUCGAUUUUGAGAAAAGCAUCCAUUGCAUCCAGCCAUUUGAUCAGUUGGAGUUUUGACCCGUGCUUCACUGAACAAGUUGUCAAAACGAAUUCCAAUAUCUUCGAUAGGAAGUUUGUCAAGGUCAAACCCGUGCAUUUUUGCAAGUUCUUGUAUCGAUCAAAAGUGAUCAAUCCCUUCGGACGAGGUCCUCAUUUUGACAAACGUCUCUUCUCAUUCCAUUUGGGCCCAACUCAAGGGAGGUACACCCUAAUCCUUCAUUUCUUACUUGAUUUUGACUCUACGUGCUCCUAUGUGUUAUGUGUGAAUAUGCAUGCUUUAAUUCGCUUUUCAUUUCAUGUUUAAUUGCCUAUUUCGCUUUCUUUUUAUUUCAUUUUUCUUAAUUUGCAAGUGAUUUGAAGGCACUUGAAUGCCAAGUUGUAAUAGCUAGGUUAUUAUUUUUAUUUUUAUUCCGUUCCCCCUCCUAGAUUGUAUAGGCCUUCUUCCCCUAAAAAUGUAAUAGUUAGGGCCUUAGUUGCCUUAUGUGUCUUGCAUGUCUAUGUGCUAUAUGUUUCAUCGCCUUCUUAGGUUUUGGCAUCUAGAUAUGCAUGCUAAGUGUUAUGUGCUAUGUGUUUAUGAGUGUUUGGCAUGUCUACUCGCUUUCCAUGGCCAUGAAUGAAUGUAAUGGACGAAUGUACGUUUCCAAUAGUCCAACGCUAGUCGGAAUUCAUAGAAUGGGCUAGUCCAACGCUAGACCCUUAGGGAUUUCCCCUCGUUAGUACAUGUUUGCAUGUUCACUACAUUUCAUGCAUUUUUUUAGUUUUUAUGGCAUUUGGCAUGUCCCUCUAACCUUUUCCCUUUCAUUUUAGGCCUUUGCAUUUCAUGCUAGUUAUAGGGUCCAUUUGCCUGAGAACCCCCUUGGGUAAGGGAAACGAGCGAGUGUGGCUUCAAAAUAGCCUUAGCACGCUAGUUUUUCCUUCUAAUCAAAGGAAAAAUUAAAAUCACAAAAACUAGAGGUCAUUCCCGUACCCGACCUGAUGCAUUCCUCUAAGUUCAUGCAUUUUCAUAUCAUUUUCUCACUAUUUUCCUCACUAAUUAUAUAUUUUAAAUCCACAUGUCAUAUUCACACACUUAUUCACUUUCUUUACUUUUCACUUCACACAUUGCACCUAUUUUACUUAUAUAUUUACUAUUUUCAUUCACUUGCACACGAGCAUUUAUAUUUUUAUUCAUUUGCACACAAACACUUUCAAAUUGCACACAUGCACUUUUUUCUACACUUUGCACACUUACACUCUCAUUUGAGUCCUCAUUUGCAUCAUUCAUGAUUUUCUAUGAGGACUUUCCUUAUUGGCCGUCACGACUCGUGUGAAUGGGACCAAAAGCCUCAUAAGAGACAUUUCUUAGAUUUAGGAUUACAUUUCUCAUUCAUUAGUCAAAUCCAAUUUGCAAUACAUACUUUGGGUAGAAAAUAUAGGAAAAUAAGGGUUAAAUCACGCAACUAGCCUUGGUUAGGUCGAAGGGGUGCCUUGGAUUUUUAUCCUUGCCUUCCCCUUCGUCAAAUGUGACUCCCGAACCUUUUUCUUUGUUUUACGUGGACUAGGAGUCGUUUAAAAAGGGUUUUCUUACUUUUUUUCUUUAAAAAUUUCAUUUUUUGGGUGACUUGGUACACGCUAACUCUAUACCAAGUGGCGACUCCAUUUUUUCAUAUAAAAACCCUUUUUGAACUAUUUUUCUUGGGUCAAAUCGUCGCAUUUUCAAAAGUCCCAUUUAGAUCCAUUUUUGUUUUUAUCAACAAAAUUCAUUUUUCCCAAAUCAAUAAAAUUCAACAAAAAACAAUUAUUUUAUUUUUUCCAAAAAAAGUGGGGCGCGACAGCAUUCAAAUGUGAUUCCUUUGGACAGGAUUGGAACCGAGCAUAUAGGCACACAGCAAACAUAAUAUCAGGUCUACUAGCAAUUAAGUAGAGCAAACUACCAAUCAUAUCGCUAUAUUUCUUUUCAUCAACUUUUGUACUUUCUUCAUCCUUGUUAAGCUUGGUAGAUGUGCACAUAGGUGUUCCAAUUUGCUUUGAAUCCUCCAUUCCAAAUCUUUUUAGCAGCUCUUUGGUGUAUUUGGUUUGAUUGAUGAAUGUUCCAUCUUGGGUUUGAACCACUUGGAGUCCAAGGAAGAAAUUUAAUUCUCCCAUCAUGCUCAUUUCAAACUCUUUUUGUCUGAUAUUGGAAAAGUCCUUGCACAAUCUCUCAUUAGUAGCACCAAAUAUGAUAUCGUCCACAUAUAUUUGCACAAUUAAAAGACCACGUGAAUUUUAUUUAGUGAAAAGGGUAGUAUCCACAAUGCCUCUUUUAAAACUAUUUUCAAUCAAGAAAUCACUCAAACGUUCAUACCAUGCUCUAGGAGUUUGUUUCAAUCCAUACAAGGCUUUUGAAAGUUUAAAAAUAUGAUUUGGGUAAAAUUCAUUUUCAAAACCAGGAGGUUGAUCAACAUAGACUUCUUGAUCAAUAAAUCCAUUUAAGAAAGCACUUUUAACAUCCAUUUGAAAUAAUUUAAAGUUCUUGAAGCAUGCGAAGGUAAAAAACAUUCUAAUUGAUUUUAGCCUAGUUACGGGUGCAAAUGAUUCAUCAAAAUCUAUUUCUUCUUCUUGAGUGUAUCCCUCAACUACCAGUCUGGCCUUAUUUCUUACUACCUCACCUUUGUCAUUCAUUUUAUUUCUAAAAAUCCACUUGGUGCCAAUGAUGGGAUGAUCUUUUGGUCUAACAACUAAUGUCCAAACCUUGUUUCUUUCAAAUUGAUUUAACUCCUCUUCCAUAGCUAAAAUCCAGUUCUCAUCUUUCAAUGCAUCAACAACAUUUUUGGACUCAAAAUGUGAGACUAAUGUAAAAUUAUCUAUUAGUUGUUUGGAGGAGGAACGUGUUCUGACCUUUUCGGAUAGAUCACCAAUGAUGAGUUCCUUAGGAUGGUUUUGGAUAAAUUUUCAGGCUCUUGGAAGAUCAUCAGGAAUGGUAGAGUCUCUGUCGUUGUUUACUCUAGUUGGACUGUCUUGAGUUUCAUCUUCCUUUGAAUCAUUUUCGGGUGAAGCAGUGCCUUGGUCACUGAUUGUUUGCCUCUUUAGUUCUUCUUGAACACCUGCAUCAUCAUCUUCACCACAACUCAUGAAAAUGUCAUCAUUAGAUUCAUCAAAAGUAAUGUGUAUAGUUUCCUCUAUAACCAGAGUCCUACGAUUAUAAACUCUAAAACCUCUCUUACUCUCACAAUAUCCCAAGAAGAUUUCCUCAUCAGAUUUUUUAUCAAACUUCCCAAGGUGUUCCUUGAUAUUUAGAAUGAAGCAUCUACAACCAAAAACUUUAAAAUAUCCAACAACAGGUUUUUUAUCAAACAUCAGCUCAUAGAAAGUUUUGUUCAAAAUUGGUCUUAAGAGAACUCUGUUCAUGGUAUAGCAGGCUGUGUUAACAGUUUCAGUCCAAAAAUAUUUUGGUAAAUUACAUUCACUAAGCAUGGUUCUAGUAGCCUCUUGGAGAGUUCUAUUUUUUCUUUCAACAACCCCAUUUUGUUGGGGGACUCUUGCAAUAGAAAAUUCAUGUGUAAUACCAUUGUUGUCAUAAAAUUCUAAAAAAUCACAGAAACGAAAUUUUGAGCCAUUGUCACUCCUUAUUUUGAUGAUUUUCAAAUCAAUCAAAUUUUAAACUUUUGCAAAUAGUGAAAUAAAGUUUUUGAAAGCAUCAUCUUUGUGUGUAAGGGAUAUCACCCAAAUGUAUCUAGAAUAAUCAUCAAUAACAAUAAGACAAAAUCUUUUGCCACCUAAGCUUGUGGUUUGAGUGGGACCAAAUAGAUCAAGAUGUAAAAGUUCUAGAGGCUUUGAAGUAGAAACACAUUUCUUGGGUUUAAAAGAUACCUUAACUUGUUUUCCAAAUUGGCAAGCAUCAUAGAUUUGGUCUUUUUCAAAUUUGAUUUUUGAAAGCCCUCAAACAAGUUUUUUUUUUUUUUGAAAAUUUCUUUUAGCAAAUCCAUAUUAAAAUGACAGAGCCUUCUAUGCCAUAGCCAGGGGUCCUCAUUUGCUGCUUUGAGACAACUAAAGCUAGAAGAAUCAACUUUUUCAAGGAUAACAACAUAGAUGUCAUUUACUCUUUUUUCUUUGAAAAUAGUGUUGAAUUUUGAGUUAAGAAUAAGGCAUUCAUGCUUUUUAAAUAACACAAACAGAUUUCUAUCACACAAUUGACUAAUACUUAGCAAGUUGUAGCUCAAAUUUUCAACCAAAAGAACAUUGUGAACAAAGGUUUGACCAUUCUUACCCACAUUACCAAUACCAACAGUUUUGGCUUUGUUGUCAUCUCCAAAAGUCACUUUUUUGCUUGCUUUUGGCUUGAGCUUGAUGAACUGUGAUGCAUCACCAGUCAUAUGUCUUGAGCAUCUACUAUCUAUGAACCACUUUGAUUCCUUAACAGUGUUCACUAGGUUCACCUACGCAAAGAUCCACAAGAUAAUUUUUUGGUACCCUUUACUUUUUGGGUUCUUGAGAGUUAGCAUUAUGUCUAACCAUCCACAUGCAUCUCAUGCCAUUUCUCAUAUUUUUCCUUACAUAACAAUUGCUUUUUAUGUGGCCAAAUUGACAACAGAAGCUACAUUCAGUUAAAGAGUUAUUCACAUGAACGGGUUUAAUAAAUCUGACUUGCCUUUUUCUAUGGAUAGUAAACUCAUUUGCAUUUUGAUUCAGUCUUAUCUGAUGAGUGCCAAAAUGAGGUUUUGCGUCAUUCCUUUGAAAUCAGUUUUGUUUCUUAUAUUGAAGCAUAUCACUAAGAUCAUCUAUUCUUCUUUUCAAGUUGCUUAAUUCAUUUCUGAGCAUGUUACGGAGGUUUGUUUUUCUAUCAAGUUCAGCAUGCAAAUCAUUUUCAAUCCUUUUCAGGCUCUCAUUUUCAUUUUUCAGACAUUUAUUUUGUCGAAAAAGACUUGCAUUGUCUUGUAUCAGAAAGUUAAUUUUCUGUUUUAGUUCCUUGUUCCUAACAUAGGACUCUUUCAAAUUGUUGUGCAUUUUUUCCAAAAAUGAAUUAACAUCAUCAUCGGAUUCACUGUCACCAUCAAUUUGAGAGUUGCAUGUGGUUAUUUCUUCAUCACUAAUGGCCAUGAAAGCUACUUGGACAGAUUCCUCUUCUUCUUCGACUUCACCUUCUGAAUUGCAGUCAUUCCAGGUGAUCUGAAAAUUGUUAAACUUUGGUUUUCGUUCAAUCUUGCUCUCUUUUUUUUUCUUCAUUGGACACUCAUUUCUAUAGUGUCCAGGUUGGCCGCAUUCAAAACACUUAUCAGUUUAUUUUUUGUUGAACUCUGACUUUCUUUGUUUCUUAAGUUAUUGAACUGAUUCGAAAAGGAAUUGCUAGGUCCACCUUUUUUGAAUCUUCUCUUGUUGAGUAUUCUUUUGAAAUCUCAUGUGAUGAGUGCAAUAUCACUGUCAUCACCUUUCAUGUCAUCUCCAUCCAGGGAGGCUGCAUCAUCUUCAUCUUAUAAGGCCUUCAGAGCAGUACUCCUUCUCAUCUUUGUGUCUUCUUCUUCCUGUACCUUGGACUUGAGUUUUAGCUCAUAAGAAAUCAGUGAAUUAAUAAGAGAUUCAAUAGAUAAUGUAUUUAGAUCUUUGACUUCCUUAAUGGCAGUCACUUUACUCUCACAAUCCUUCGAUAAGGUAUUCAAAAUUUUUCUGUUUUUCUCACCUAGAGAGUAAUUUUUCUCAAACACUUCUAGAUCCUUAAUAAGAUCAUUAAAUCUGCAAUACAUCUUGUCAAUAUUUUCAUGAGAUUCCAUCUUAAAAGAUUCAUACUUAGUGACCAGAAUGAACUUUUUCUGUUCUCUCACAUUCUCACUUUCUUCAUGGAUUUCUCUAAGUUUAUCUCAAAUCUCUUUUGCAGAUUUGCAGCCCUUGACUCUAAUAGAUUUAUUUGAAUCUAGAGCACUAUAUAGUACAUUCAUCGCCUUGGCAUUCAGAGUGAGAUGAGUUCUAUUUUCAGCAGUCAACUCACUUCUUAUUUUUGGUCUCGGCCUGUUUGUAUCUUUAUCAGUAAUAGAGGCAUCAUAUGGACCUUCAUUGACAAUAAACCACAGUUCAAUAUCAAUAGAUUGUAAGAAAAUAAUCAUCAUUUCCUUCCAACUCACAUAAUUUGAUCCAUUGAACAUUGGAGGUCUAGUGACUGAUUGUCCCUCAAAGAACAUGGCAUUGCUGGUUGUCAUUUUUACUCCAAAGUCGAUUGAUCUUAAUCUCUAGGAGACCAAGCUCUGAUACCAAUUGUAAGGAUCGAAGACAACCUAAGAAGAGGGUGAAUUAGGUGAUUUAAAAACUAGCCAAGAUGUGAGUCACUUUUUCACGAACUUGCCCUCUUUUUCUAAAGGAUCUCACAAAGGAACAAUUAAUGAAUGAACAGAAGUGAUUGUGAGUAGAAGAAAUAGGUAGUUUAUGUUGCAAGACAGUAAGUAAAGAGAUGGAAUAGCAAACCAAGUUUCAAACUCGACUUGAGUUUGAAUAUCACUUUAUAUAGCAAGCUUUUUCAAGUUGAUCAACUUACAACCAAUCUCUUGUGUAAAAAGGAAGGAUCACUUCCUCCUUGUCUCAAGUCUCACUUGAUCAAGUAGGAAAGUUUUACAAUCACUCGGAUAACCCUCACAAAGUUACACUAUCUGAAAAUAUCUAAUUUGGGAAAUAUUAGUGUCAUCCACUUGUUUUGUCAUCAUCAAAAGAUACGAACUGAGAUGAAUACAUGACAACCACAGUAGUUUUGUGUUGACAUUAGCAGCUUUCUUUUCAACAUCUCAAGAGACGUUAGGGAGGUUUUGGAUAAACGUUUGUUCAUUCCAGGGGGUGAACUGUUAUUUGACCUUAUCUCAGGGGUUACACGGUAAUUUGCUUAAACCUCAAGGAAGGUAAAUGUAAUUAAUCCUUUUUAUUAUUAUGUCAGAACAUUAUAUUAUUAUAUAAGUUUAAAUUUUGAGCAUUACUAAACACAUUGAUGAGGACAGCCUAAUGCUGAAACUUAUUUCUAGAACAAAAAAAGGAUUGACACAACAAUCUCGCAGCCGAGAAUUCCUAGUGGCUGAAUAUUGACAUGAUUUUUUGCACAACUAAGAUGAGGGUAAAACAAAUUCAAUUUUUUUUAAAGUUUGUUUUCUUGUCCAAUUGUUUUGGUUUACAUUUGAAACAGAACUAAAGCUGUUUGAAUGUGGGACUACAAAGCUAAAACUUGGCAUUUAUCAUUGAUAUAGAACGAGGAACUCCGGGGUCAGGAAUCCCUCAUCGUAUCAAUAAUACUUUUUUUAGGAAUCAUAAUGAGGAUAAUUUUCCUUAGUUUUUAUUAGUAUUUUUAUUUAUUUUAAUUAGUAAUAUUAGUGGAGUUUGUCUCGAUAAAGGAUUGUGUGCCGAAGAGGUUGGAAGGGAAAAAAUGCAAAGCGAUCUUCAAGGAAGAUUCGGCAGAUCUUAUUAGUAAGGUUGGAUCCCACGUCGAGAUAAAAUUUAUAAUUGAACUGCUACCAAGAUGACCAUGCUAGAAAACUAUUGUAGAAAGGUGUCAAAAGAUAUUAGCUUAUCUGAUAAAAAGCCAAUAGACAAGACUAAAAGUGAUAAUGUACCAGUUAUGAAAAAUUAUCCUAAUGUCUUCCUUGCGGAACUAACCUUUUUACCACCCGAAAGGGAAACCAAAUUUGUGAUUGAACUACUAUCCACAUCAGCAUCGAUUUCAAAGUUAACUUAUCAUAUGGCGCCAACAGAGUUGAAAGAAUUAAAAUUCAAUUGUAAGAUUUGGUGAAAGAGGGUUUAUCCAACCAAGUGUGUCAUCGUGGAGAGCUCUUAUGUUAUUUGUAAAGAAGAAAUAUGGGACUUUGGUUAUGUAUGGAUUAUCAAGGGCUGAACAAUAUCACCAUAAAGAAUUGGUAACCAUUAUCACUUAUUGAACUGUUUGACCAACUACAAGAAGCUUUACUGUUUUCCAAUUUUUAUUUGAAGCAAGGUUUUUACCAAUUGCGUAUCAGAAAGGAAGAUACAGGUAAGAUUGCCUUCAGUACCUGACGUGGUCACUAUGAUUUUUUUUUUUGAAGCAAGGAAAUCCAAUAAUAAAUAGGAGUCUACAAAUCUGGUAAUGCAAUCCUUCUGACGAUAGUGGCGAGGUCAUGUGCACUUGCUAUCUCUUGCCUACUAAUCUUUUCCACUCCUACAUACUUGACCCAAGAUGGCAGAAGUAUGAUGUCUUCUAGGAUUGUUUUCACAUGCAUAGAGGCCUUAUCUAGCUCCCUUGGGUGAUAAGUGCUACACAAUCCAUUUUAAUAGCGUCAGAUGGAGUACCCGAUCCUUGCAGCCAUUUGAGUGCUUCCCAACACUCUAAAGCUUCAAUUUGGAGGGUGGACACCGCAUGUACCUCAUUAGCUUGUCUAUGAAGCAUCAUUUCCAUGGAAUCUCAAACUACUUAUUCGACUGCUGCAGUCUUACUUGUUAGGACUUGCCCAAAAAUAAACAAACUAAAAUUAGAACAAAAUAGGUGGUAUAACCGACCAUAUAUUAUUUAGGCGGUAGAUACCAGCCAUAUAAUACUUACGUGGUAAAAUCGACCAUAUAAAAGGGUUUUUGUAACCUAAUAAAGACAAAUAAUAAAGUAAAAUAAAAGACACAGAAAUUUACGUGAUUCAGUCAAAAUGACCUACGUCCACGGGCGGAGGAGGAGCAAAUAUUUCACUAUGAAGAAAAUAUACAAAAGCCGUAGGAAAGUGGUUCCUAGGCCAAAAAAUGCACCUAAUACUAAAACACAAGAGAGUCCAAAAGAUUUAACUAAACAAAAGACUUAAUGACCCAAAGGUCCAAAUAGUCACUAAUGCUCUCUUGGUUUGAUGCACUGAAUUGGUUUGCUUGAGAGCUAAUUUAUAGCUCUCAAUCCUUCCCCUAAAAAACAAUCCCACCGAUGUGGGAUGAAAAAUUAUACCACAAAAAUCAAAUAUUGUGGGCGUUGAAAAAAUCAACAAAUCUCCAUCUUGACAUAAUUUCUAGUCUCACCAUCUACAAUAGCAAAACUGCUCCACCUUCUCCACAUAAGCCCCAAUGGACCUAAAUCACCAACAAUGAAUACCAACCCAAUUCAAACAUUGCUUGAACUUGUAAACCGGAAGAGGUUUCGUAAAUAUGUCAGCAGGAUUUUCCUUGGUAUUGAUUUUCUGAACAAGAACUUUUUCCUUAGCAAUGAUAUCCCGAAUGAAGUGAUAUUUCAUAUCAAUGUGUUUCGUUCUCUCAUGAUACAUUUAAUCUUUAGUCAAGUGUAUGACACUUUGACUAUCACAGUGAAUAACAGUAACACCUUGACGUAGACUAAACUCGCUAAACAAACUUUUCAACUACAAGGUUUCUUUGAUUGCCUCGGUCACAGCCAUAUAUUCUAUUUCUGUAGUAAACAAAGCUAUGACAGGUUGUAGAGUAGUUUUCCAACUGACAGCACAACCGCCAAUGCAAAAUACAUAGCCUGAAAGGGCUAAUUGAUUAGAAUAUAGGUGUAAAAAAAAAAUUCAGACACUUGCGGAUCUGACAGGGGUUCUGUAUAUAUCUAUGGGUGCCGGGCUGACACCUGACACCAAAAAUUUUUUUUUUUUUUUUUAUAAAAGACACACGGGUGCCGGGCCUGGCACCUGACAAAGACUGCAAAAGCUGGCUGCCGGGCACUCUCUGCCCGGCAGCCAGUCAAAUUGUUAAAAAAAAAAUCGGCAGGCUUCAAAAAAAAAAGUUGGCUAGCGCUCCUUGUCCCUUGGCUUCGCUUUUCUCAUGGCCACUAGUUUUUUAUUCCGUCCCACAAGCAAGCACUUAAUACUAUGUGAAUUGACGUAAAAUCUAACGAGGCAAAGAUUCUUUGACAGCCUACUAGCCUAGCCUAUUGUAAAGGGGUCCGUUUGUAUUAGCUGUUUUUUGGGUUAUUUUUCAAAAAUAAUACUGUAGCAUUUCGUUUUUGAAAUAUAAGUCCGUUUGGAUUAGUUGUUUUUGGGGUUGUUUUUCAAAAACUAUAUGAAAAACUUUUACUGUAGAUGCUUUUUGGAUUAUUUUUAGAGGUAUUUUUAAAACAUAUUUUUGAGUAUUUUAUAAUUUAUAAUUUUUAUAUUUUUAUAUUUAUAUACAUUUAGGCAUUUAUAAAACAUUUAUAAAUAUUUAUAAAUAAAUAUAUUUAUAUAUUUAUAAAAAAAUAUAUUUAUAUAUUUAUAAAAAAAUAUAUUUAUAUAUUUAUAAAAAAUAUAUAUUUAUAUAUUUAUAAAAAAAUAUAUCAAUAUAUUAUAUUAUACACAAUACAUAAUAUAAAUAUAUUUAUAAAUGUAUAAAUGUAUAUUAUUAUAAACGUAUAAAUUAUAAAUGAAUAUUAUAUAAAUGUAAAAAUUAUAAAUUAUAAAUUAUAAAUUUUUAUAUAAAUAUAUAUUAAUGCAUUUAUAAUACAUUUAUAAAUAUUUAUAAAUAAAUAUAUUUAUAAAAAUAUAUAAAUGUAUUAUAUUAUAUAUAAUACAUAAUAUAAAUAUAUUUAGAAAUGUAUAAGUGUAUAAAUUAAUAUAUCAUAAAUAUAUAUUAAUAUUAUGUAUAAAUGUAUUAAUAUAAUUAAUAUAAAUAUAUAAAUGUAUUAAUAUUAUGUAGAAAUGUAAAAUUAAUAUUAUGUAUAUUAAUAUAAAUGUAUAAAUGUAUUAUAAAUGUAUUAUAUUAUAUAUAAUACAUAAUAUAAAUGUAUAUUAUAAAUAUACAUAAAUAUAUAUAUUAUGUAUAAAUGUACAUUUAUAUAAAUGUAUAAUCUAUAUAAUAUAAUAUAAUAUAAUAUAUAUUAUAUAUAAUUUUAUAAUAUAUUUUUUAAAUAUAAAUAUAUUAUAAAUAUAUAAAAAUGUAUAUUAAAUAAAUAAAGUAUAUAUAAUAUGAAUACAUAAAUAUAUAAAUAUAUUAUUUAUAAAUAUUUAAUAUAUAUAAUAUACAUUAAUAUUAAUUAUAAAUAUUUGAAUAUUAAUAAAUAUGGUGUUUAUAUAAUAUUUAUUGUAUAUUUCAUUAUAUAAAUAUUUAUAUAAUAUAUAAAUAUAUAAAUUAUAAUAUAUUUUUUAAAUAUAAAUAUAUUAUAAAUAUAUUAAAAUGUAUAUUAAAUAAAUAAAUUAUAUAUAAUAUGAAUACAUAAAUAUAUAAAUAUAUUAUUUAUAAAUAUUUAAUAUAUAUAAUAUACAUUUUAAUAUAUUUAUAAUAUAUUUAUAUUUAAAAAAUAUAUUAUAAUUUAUAUAUUUAUAUAUUAUAUAAAUAUUUAUAUAAUAUAUAAAUAUAUAAUAUAAAAUUUUGCAAUUUGUAUAAUAUACAUAAUAUUGUAUAUAUAUAAUAUAAUAUACAUAAUAUAAUAUAUUAUACAUAAUAUACAUUUAUACAUUAUUACAUAUUAUGUAUAUUAUAUAUUAUACAUAACAUUAUUAUACAUUAUUAUACACAAUAAUGUACAUAAUAAUGAAAGUACUUUAAUAAUGUAUAUAUUAUAAUAUAAUGUACAUAAUAUAUUAUGUAUAAAUAUUUAUACAUUUAUGUAUACAAUAUUACAUAUUAUGUAUAUUAUAUUAUAAAAAAAAAAGAAAAAAAAAAAAAAAAAAAAAAACCAAAAAAAAAAAAAAAAAACAAAACAACAAACAACAAAAAGAAAACAAAAAAAAAUCAUCAUAAUCAUUUUCUCUACCAAAAUACAUUUAACCCAUUUCACACUCAAUGGCCAUGGACUGGUCUUUUCAUUAGUUGAGAGAUCAUCAUUUUGGAAGAUUGAGCACACAAACUCCAUUUUGGCUACAAGUAUCUCUCGGCUCUCUUUGGCUGCCAGGGGACAGACACAAAAAAAAAAAACACUCCAGCUCUCAAUAUCGACUCUCUGGCCUCUCUCAGACGGACAUAACAAGAAGAAAAAAAAACACUCCACUCUUUGUGAACUCAAAAAAAAGGAAAAAAACUCUCGGCUCUCUCGGCUCUUUCUUUUUUUAACACACUCCACAAAUCAAACAAGAAGGGGGGGAACUAGCGGUCAGGCCAUUGAAGUUAGGAAUUUCCCCACAAAGCUCAAACGAGUGACUGCAAUAUUCUGGAGGUAGUUUCUUUCUCGUUUUUUUUUUUAGUUUUGUUUUUCACCGUACACUCAUAUUUUGUUGCUUAUUUUCUCCUGUUUGGUUGCCUUUCAGUGUUGUUGUUCUGUUUGUUAAAAUUUUGGGAAAUGGCAUGAGCCAGUUUUAGGAAAAGGAAAUGUUUAUUAUGUAUGCAUAUUAACUGUUUGGUAAAAUGCCGAAAACGGAAAAAUGGAUUAAAAAGCUGAACAUUGUGCAUGUUGUUGUCAAAACGGAUGACCGUUAGCUAGCACCAAUAUCUGAAAAUGUUGGGUUAAUUAAGUAUUUUGAAGUUUUGAGCCUUUAUAGGCAUUGAAAUAUUUUCUUUAUUUUUGGGGCUGUUUUGAUUUAAUGCAUUCUUUUGUUGUUGUUUACUUGUCAAACUAAGAUCAUAGUUGUAUUGUAGAAGUCAUAAGGAGGGUUUUGGCAUAAUUUUUAUGAUUUUUGGUGAAGAUGUGAGGGUUUUAAAAAAUAAAAACUGAACUGAUUUCUUGGCAUUUUGGCCACUUUUGGGUCAUUUUCUAUAAAAACUAAGUCCAAAAAUGGAGUCUGCACGAAAAAUCGAGUGAGGGGGUGUAUUUUGAGGAUUUUUUGUGACCGGAGAGGUCACCGGCGGUGGCGGUCGGCGGCGGCGCCACCGGCGGCGACCAUGGCCGCCAGCUGAAGCUCCUUCAGCUGGCCGAAGAAGAAGAGAAAAAGAAACGGCUGGAAGUGGAGAAAGGAAGAAAAGAAAAGAAGGAAAGAAAGAAAGAAAAAAGGGGUUUGGGCUAAGGUUAGUUUUUAGGUGGUUUGUGAUUUUUUUGUUAGGUCUUGGGGAUGGGUUUUGGUUUAUUUUUUCUUUUGGGUUUCGGUUGGGCUAGGAGGUUGGAGCCCAUGUUUUUUUGGCUGGGCUUGAGGGAUAAAAAGGCAGGCUGGCCUGUGUGUUUGGCUUGGAUUUUCGGCUGGGCUUAGGUAGUGUUCGGCCCAAAUAGAUAAAAUGAUGGCCCAGUGGCCUGUUUUCUUAAGAAGAUCAGAAACCGAUUCUUGCACUUUAGCCCCUGAUUUUUGGAGUAGUUUCACUGUGGCCCAGAAUAUUUUAAAUUUAUUUCAUGUCGGUCCUUAUAGUAAUUGCACUUUGGUCCCUGAAUUUUAUCUUUUAUUUAAUUUUGACCCUAAACUUUGAAAAAAUAAUUUUUGUCCCCAAAAGUUUUUCAAUUUUUGCAAUUCAGUCCCUGAUGAAUUUUGACUCUCUUUAUUAUGAUUGUUUCUUUUCUUUAAUAGCUAAUUAUGCUACUUUUGAAUAUACUUAAUUUGGAAAUUUUUUAGAUUUACUUAAAUUUCUUUACGUCUGACAUAUUAGCGUGAAUUUAGUACUUGUAUUAUUAUUUUCUUUUCCAAUUAAAUUGGUGCCAUGAUCCUUUUGUUCAUUGUGAGUAUAAAUAGGACAAUUUGACUCCAUUUAGUCACCACUUCAAACGGGAGGUACCCCUAUUUUAUUAUUUCAAUGUCAAUUACGUGCUCUUAUGUGUUCCUAUGUGUUUAUAUUUUUAUAUGCUUUAUUUAUUUGAUUUAAAUAUUCAUUCAAAUUUUCUUAUAUAUGUUUUAGUUAAUUUUUACAAUGAUUCAAGAGGCAUUUAAAAACCUCAAAAAAUGUAAUAGAUAGGAUAAUUAGAUUUGUUUUAUUAUAUUUUUCCCUCCUAUAUUGUAGUUAGGCGCUCCCCGAUGUAAUAGAUAAAUUGCGUGUUUAUGUGGCUUAUGUGUUAUGUGUUUUAUCCGCUUUUCUUAGGAUUUUGGCAUCUAGAUAUUAUGCUUACGUGUUAUGUGUUACGUGCUCUUAUGUGUUUAUUUGUUUUAAUUUAUGCUUUAUUUGCUUCACUAUGAAUUGUUAAUACAUGACGUCACCACACUAGUCCAACGCUAGUUGUGGCUUCUCUCUUCGCUUACUUGCUAGUUCAACGCUAGUAAAGAUUUUUAGAAAUGGGCUAAUCCAAUGCUAGACCCUUUAAGCCUUCUUGCAUUAGAUUCAUCUUUGUGUGAUAUUCAUUACAUUUUUAUUCAUAUUUUCAUUUUUAGGAUCUUUUCUCAUUUGCGUGAUAUUUCCUAUUAUAUUAUCCUCUAUCCUCUAUAUGUGUUAAUCAUGUCAUUUAGAAUUGCAUCUCAUUUAAAUUAGUUCAUUUGCUUGUCUAUGUUAGGAGAAUUAUUUUUCAAACAUGGGAAAUGGGUGAUUAUAACCUUUUAGUUUAAAUACCCUAUCAAUCCAUGUAUAAGAAAAUUAUGUCACGAGUUUUUGCCUCCCGUACCCUUUACGUUGCAUUCCAUUUUUCUUUGAUAACUUAUAUAUAUGUAUAUAAUUUAAUUUAUUUUCUUUUAUUUUAAUUUCAUCAUUCGCAUACUCGUGACACCUUCAAGGAAUUAUUUUGGCCCUCGCAAUUAAUGCGAUUGGUUCAAUUAAACCCUUGAAUGAACAUUUUGUCCCUUUCGAUAUUUUUAUAAAUUUAGAUUUGCAUCCAUGUAGGAAACAUCCAAAUGUGAUAAAAUUAAGGGUUAGAUUAAGAAAAUUUUGAUUAAAUCUCGCAACUAGCUUAGAAUAGGUUGAAAGGGUGCCUUAGAUUUGAGUUAAUCGAAUCUUUGCCUUCCCUUUCUUCAACCGUGACUCCCGAAUCCAUUUUAUCUUGUUUUUCAAAGACCUGGAGUUGUCGAAAAGGGUUUUUAUUUAUUUAUUUAUUUUAUUUAAAUACUUUAUUUUUUGGGUGACUUGGUACACCAAAACUCCAUACCAAGUGGCGACUCCUAUUUUUUCUUAAAAACCCUUUUAGACUAAAUUUUGGACCCAAAUUGUCGCAUUCUUUUUAAGUUCCAUUUUAGGUCCUUUUUUAUUUAUUAUUAAUAAAUCACAUCUUUUUAUAAAACACUUUCUUUUCCAUCGCGAAAAAUGGGGCGCGACAACUUGGCGACUCCACUGGGGACGUAAGAGAGUCCAAGCACUUGGUUUAGUCGUCUUUUCUCUUUUUAACCCUUAUAUUUAUCAUAUUUGGAUGUUUUAGGUUGCAUUUUUCUCUUUUAGGAUAUUUUGCAUUUCACCCUCGUAUUCGUUUAUCGUUCCUCGUAUAUGUGAUGAAUGAUUUAUUUAUUUAUUUUUGUUUAUUUACUUAUAUGUAUCGCGCUUUGCAUUUGGGGGUGGGGAAUAUUACUCUAGAGCCUCGCAUUGGUUCUCGAUCCCUCCCCUCCAAACCGAGCACUGGCAUACGUGCAUACGUUUUUUUUAAUCCCUUAUUUAUUUUUCUUUUAGUGGCUUGUCACGCCACUCUUCCCUGUUAGGAUUAGGCGACCCACUUGGACGUGUGAUCGCGACACGACGUGUGCGUAGCAUGAUCCGAGGGGUCACUCAAUCUUCCAUUUCAAGCUUUGGGUUGAUAGCCUUUAGCUUUUAGUUGAAGAUUGAGAAUUUUUGAUAGAUUCACUUGGACAUGUGGCCGUGGCACGACGUGCGCGUAGCAAUGUCUAGGGAAUCGCUCGAGCCACCGACAAAGAACCUUGGGGUUGAUGACCUUUGGUUUCCAAGUCUGAAGGCUCGGGGACUUAAAACCUAUUGAGUCUAGAUGCAUUAGUAAGCCAAUAUCUCAUGCAUCCAUGAUAGUUUACAUAGGGUAGAGUCUGCCUUACCCUAUUAGGGACACUAUUCACGAGGGGAGGGAUCCAAUCCCUCUUUUUCUUUUUAUUGUUUUAUCUCUGUGUAUUAUUUUGCUACAAUGUGUUAUGUGAAUUUAUCUGAUUGAACUAACUUUUCUUAGUUUUUGUCUCCACUGCAUUCACAAACCUUAGAAAUAAGAGUCCUGACGUGGUAUUCGUUAAGGCAGACCACCCUUUGUAAAUAGCACGUUUAAAUUUUAGUUUAUCGCAUUAAUACUAUGCAUGUCAUUCUAGGCUUACCCCGGCAUUUAAAUGGGGCACUUUUAGAUCAUAUGUCAAGUAUUUCAUUGCAUAUUUAACCGCUUUAAUAAACUGGCAUCAUACAUCAGCUUUAGAGGGAAUGCCGCAUAGGGGAUCCCGCGUUAGGAAUAAGCCACAUUUUGUCUCGGAUAUAUAAUCCAAUGAGACUUGCACGUUUAUAUUUUUUGUACCAUCCAAAGUGGUAGUGCACAAGGUAAGGUAGGAUUCGAUCCCUUUCGUGUGACGGCAUUGAGAAUGAUGGAACAGUUUUUACGCAUUAGAAUAUGAGCCUUUAAUAAUCACUUUUUGGCCAUUUUAUCAGAAUUGGUAAAAAUCCCUUGCGUAAAGGACAUUAAGUUGAAAAAAUUCACAAAAUUUCACAUUGUUGAGACGAUAAAUAUAAUUGAGGCCAAAUCUUGAUUUUAGAAUGCUCAUAGACUAAUGAAUCACAAUGAAUUUUUUGAAACUACCAAUGGGCAGACAAUUCCAUCGAUUUUGAUAAAUCAUCAAUUUCAUUCAUUCCAUUUUUACAUCUAAGAUGAUUGAAUCGAUUUUUUCAUAGAUCAUUCGAUCCUUACAAUUUUGCUCAUUUUUAAUUUCAUUUUCAUUCAAUUUCAUUUUAGAUAAAUCAUCAAUUUCAUUCUGUUCAUUUGGUCAGUGAUCCAGUCGAUUUUUGAAUAAACUGUCAAUUCUAUCCAAUCCAUUUGAUCAAUUUAUACAUUUCUAGGACAAUACAAUCAAUUUUGAGUUAAUCAUCAAUUUCAUUCAAUUCAUUAUUCUUUUAAUCAAUUUUAUUUAUUUAUUUUUUAUUUUUGAAUAAAUUUUCAAUUUCAUCCAAUCCAUUGGAUCAGUUUUAUUCACUUUCAGGAUAAUCCAGUCAAUUUUUGAACUAACCAUCAAUUUCAUUCGAUUCAUUUAACCUAUUUAUUCUCUUUUAAAGUUUCGAUCUAUAGUUCACCGAAGAAAUUAGUCGAGACAUUUCAAUCCUUUCAAAAGUAAGUUUUAUACACUAAAUUGAUUUUGAUAUCAUUUUAUGUGUCAAUCAAAGCAGUCAAUUCAUUCGGACUUUGUCCUCAUUUUGUUAGGACAAAUUGUCUCUUGUCACUCCAAUUAUCCAGUCUUUUCAAAAUUGUCUUUUCAUUGAAUGUCAAUAAGUCGAUCGGAUCCAUCAGGUAUUGUAUGGUGCCUAUCCCAGAGGAUUGCAUUUUUCAUACUAGGCCAACCCUUGGCAUAAAAGGGUUCCCCCAUAGGACAUGCAUACCGAUUUUGCAGUUUUGCUUACUAAUUCUGGGUAUUUUGCUUUUAUUUUUUCCCCCUCCCCUGCAUUUAUAAAAGUUGUUUCAACAAGGUAAAAAUAUUUUUCCUAUAUCUGAUAAUAUUUUUGGUCUGAUAAAUUUUGAAAAUUACAAGUGUUACUUGAUUCUUGGGCAGAUCCUACAAUGUGAAAAAAAAUUAUGAUGAAAAAAUGAAUGAAAAAUCCAUUUGAAAACGCUAGUGUAAAGUAUCUCAAAAAUCUUUUGAUUCAUUGUUUCUAAUAUAUUUUGCCUCAAAAGAUAGAAAGAGAAAGUGUGUAUAUAUUUGAAAAUGUAUUCUUUAGAGAUUUUUAUUUGCUCACAUGUAUUAUAUUUGACCAAAAAAAUUUUCAAACAUUUGAAUAAUAAAGUUUUUAUUUAGACAAUUAUUGUUUUGUAUAUAUUCAUUCUUUAUUUGCUCAUUAAGAGAUUUCAUGAUAGAUUUUAAGGAAUAAGGCUAAAUUGAAAUUUUUCGACUUCUUGUUCGAAAUUCAUGAGUGCAUGUCAAAUUCCCAAAAUUCUUUGCAUACACUAGAUUUGUGGCCUAAACUAUUCAAUGAGGAUAGUUGGAAAUAAAAGGGGUCAUUCAAAUUUGAUAGCUUGUCAUAAAAGAUCAACCCCAACACUUUUCAUUUUCAUUUUUUUGUCCACUUUUAUUGAACCCCAAGAUCAGUCGCAUUGGCUGACUAGUUUCAAAGUGAGAUAAUUUUUUCCGUGAAAAUGUUCGGUGUGUCUAACCAGAUUCAAUCCACAUCUAAGUGAAAGCAAAAAUGUACGUUAAUUCUUAUUUUAUUUUGAAAAUUUGGAAUGAUACUUUAGACUUUCGUCUCUCUAUCUAUACAGAUUCUAUCAUUUAUUUCCCCAUUUGAGACUUCAAAAAAUAGAGUUUCGUUUCAAAUAAAAGCCUCAAUGAUCAUGACCCUCCACGGAAAAAUUUUCGAAUGUCAAAUGGAAAUGGGUUUUUCCAACGGGUUAUUCUUUACUUUGGUUGUCAUGAGAAAUAAGAAUGAUGUUUUGGCCAUCGUUUCUACCAUCUAAACACUCUUAUCCUUUGCAUCCUCAUUUGAACCUAAAUUGGUGGUUCGUUUCAAAAGCACUUAUGAUUGCACCCCCACACUGGGGAAGGAGAUUUCAAAAAGAAAAAAAGAAGAAGAAGGGAGAAAAUGCUACAAAUUGGGGGAAUUUGACUCUAACAUUGAUAUUUGGUCUUCAUUAUCAAAAAGAAAGAGGGGCCAUUUACACUCCAAAUUAGGGAGUUUUCAAUUUUAUCAUUGGCAUUGGGAUAUCAUUAUUGGUAAAAAAAAAAUAUAUAUAAUUAAUUAAAAAAGAAAAGAAAAAGAGAGAAAAGAAAAAUGUGAAAAAAUGAAAAAUGAUGAAAAUGAAAAAAAAAGAAAAAUGUGAAGACAUCCAAUGUUGAAUUCCCUCUAGUGAUUGAUUAAAAAAAAAAAGAGAGUCAAAAUGGUGUCCCGGAUUUUAAAUCCAAAACUGGGGCAAAUUUUGGGAAGAAGUGCGAUCUUAAGUGCAUUGUCCUUGAAAAUUUUAUUUUUUUUAGCUAUCGUUGUCAAGCCACAUUACAAGUUCAUAAAGUCCAUUGUUGACUUAUUUUUCAUGACAAUUUGAAGUGAAAAUAUUGUCUCUAAGGAAUCUACCAAUCACUCAUGAUCAUAAGACCAUAACCUGUUUUCAUAUGUUUAGCUAUCGUUUCUACCCAUAUAUUACAAGCCUAUACAGCUUAUAUGUUGACUGAGUUUUCUCAAAAAAUAAGAGUGAUAAGUUAUUUGCUUUCACCAAGAUGUGAUAUUGAAUGUGUUGGAUACAAUUUGGGCACAAAAAAAAAAAAAAAAGAAAGACAAAUCCUGUCAUACCAUUCCCCUGAGCCAUCUCAAAAUCUUGAAUAAUAUCCAUUUGAUUGGUCCUAAAAGAUGAGCUCAUAAGAAAAGUGAUCCUUUUCCCUCAACACCAAUCCCAAAACAAGGAAGAGAUCUUUUUCAAUUUGGUCUUAUUUUGAGGGAUUUAUCAUGGAAUCUUCUACAUGAGUUUGGAUAUGAUAUUUAAAUUCUUCAUUUGAAAAAUGUAGUUUCUAUUCACAUUGUAUGUGAUUAUUUUGCAACUAAAAUAAGCCCAAAUCGGGGCAAAUUUUUUUUUGUAAUAUAUUUGUGAGACUUCACUAAAUAAGUUCCAACUGAGGCAAAAUUUUAUAAUACAUUUGUAGGAUAUGUCCAAAGUCAAGUAUAUAUUUUUCAAAUCUUGAUAAGUCAACACUUUGCAUGAAUCUUAAUUGUUAUAUCAUUGCUCAAAAAAAAAAAAAAACAAGAAGAGCAAAAAGAAUUUGAAAAUUCAAUUGUUUCGAAAAAUUCCCCCUUUGUGCAGGUGUUUAUGGUUAAGAUCGAGGAAAGGACGCAAGUGAAAGUCUUGCAAAUUUGGAGAGCAAUCAUGAAUAAAAGGGGGCGGUAAUACUACCUUGCAAAGUGGAGGAUCGGCUAUUUUUGCAAAAGGAGUACAUACUUCGGCAGCAAACUUGAAAGAAAAAAAAAGAGAAAAGAAAAAAUAGAAAAAGGAAAAAAAUGGAAAAAAGAAAAGGGGAAUGAAAAAAAAAGGAAAAGAAAAGAAAAUGAAAAAAAAAUAGAAAAAGGAAAAAAAUGGAAAAAAGAAAAGGGGAAUGAAAAAAAAAAGAGAGAAGAGAAUAAUAAAAAUGAAAAAAAGGGAAAAAGAGAGAAAAGAAAAAAGGGAUUGAAAAAAAAAAGAGAAAAAGAAAAAGAGAGUUUUUCCUUCGAUUUUGCAAAUUUUGCAAUUGAACACUGGGAGCAUUUCAUUGGAGAUUACAUUGCCAAGUUGGGGCAACAUCUUAUGCUUCGAAAUGAAAGUGGUAAUACAUGCCAAAACGAGAUCCCGUCCUUGCACAUUUUGACAAAGGCUCGGCAGAAGAAAUCAAAUGGAUUAAGGAGCACACUGAGUUGCUGUCUCUUAUUGAUGAAAAAGAGGUUGAAUGUUUGUCAUGGACAAUGCUAUCAUCAAAGGAUGGUUCGUUGGCUAUGACAAGAAAGAUAAAUCUCGCUUAUUUGAAAUGAGGGAUAAGGUUUUGAAGUAAAUUCUUCCGAUUCAAGAGGAGGUUAAAGAAAAGUUUGCUCCAACUUAGCAAGAGUCAUUUAUUGUUCAAAGAGUGCUAUUCGGAGGAACGCCCAUUCUCAUAGAACUGGAUGGACAGGUCUUUCCUCUGCCAAUCAAUUCAGACAUGUGUAAUAAAUUCUUUAUCUGAUUAUGUGAUUUUUCUUUUGAAAUACCAUCUAUGGCGGAUUAAAGGCGAGCCUUCUUCUUUUCUCUUUGAACAUCUUACUCCUAGUUUUCCCCAUUGAACCUCUAGAAUAAUUUAACCCUUCAUUUGAUAGCCCUCCUAAAGAUUGCAAACCCCAUCCUGGGGUAAAUUUUUAUCUCCCAUUUGUCAGAAAAAGAAAAAAAAGAUUCAAAAGCCAAACUGGGGCAAUUUUUUCGAUUUUAAUACCCUCAUACUGUGGCAAAUAUUGAUAGAAUGCGGUCUUAGGGUUUUUGAAACCUCUUUGAAGAUUUUGCUUUGAAGCCUUAACACUCUUUCUACACCCCACAUGACCCCAUCAUAAAAAUCAUAAAGUCUCGACCUCCGCUUUAGUGGUAUUUCUAAUAAAAAUCACUUAAUCAAAUGGCAAUUGAUGUCAGUACACCUUCACCAUUUUUACAUGGGAAGGGUUGUCGCGCUGAUGCCAUCCUUUCUUUAAAUACAUUUCUGAGUUGAUAAAUGUCGUUAACAAGAUUUGUUCAUUAGGCGAAAACCUGAAAGGGUGUCUUCAAAAGAAUGAAAAAAAAAGAAAAAAAAAGAAAAAAAGAGAAUGAUGAAAAAGAAAAAAAAAAGAAGAAAAUGAAAACAAAAUAAAAUAAAAAGGUGUGACCUUUGUGAAAAUCCGAAAGGUUGAGGUCAUCAAGGUGAGAUUUUGGAGCACAAGAGAAUCAUGAACGAAAAGCGGGUUGCUGACACUUGAGAUAGUUGCCACUCAUUCAAAUCUGGUCAUUAGAAAAGUUGAUUUGUGGUACAAAGUGAGGUAUGGCUGACUGAUGCUAGAAAAUUGAGAAGAUUCAAAAUAAGUUGCAGCACAACUCUUGAGGAGCAGUUUUGACAUCGAAGGAUCAUGCUUGCAUAGUUCUCAGGGCCAAAAGGAGCACAAGGAAUCACAUGGUAUUCGUAUCAUAUGAUCAUUCUUUUUGUUUUUUCGAAAGCAUGAAAAAUGUGGCAUUCGUUAAACAUGAUUUACACUGGGGCAAAUAUCAAGAGGAAUGAGCUCCAAUUUUGGUAAUGCAUUUUAAAUCGGCUUUGUGAAAAAAAAAAAAAAGUCUUUUAAAAUCGAGAGGACAGUGACAUAUGUAUGUACCUCUCAAAUCUCUUGAAAUGAGAGUUGUCAUUGGUAUUCUUCAAGUUUUAGAAUUUGUCACCUUUGUUUUUUUUCAAAAAAAAAAAACAAAAAAAAAAUGUGUGUGUGCUUCUUUCAUUUGAAAAAAAAGAAAAAAAAAAGAAAAAGAUUACAAAUCCACCAACUUGAGCCACAAUGUCAAAAUGCAAAGCAGAUGAUUGGUUGAACAAAAUUGAUUCAAAUUGAGUCAAUUUCUGAAAUGAUUUUUCAGGUAAGUAUUCAAGAACUUUUUCAUGCAAUAACGUGUGUCAUGUCUUUUAUCACCGUUAGCAUCGAGUAUUGACUCACUAGCGUGUGUUUUGCUUUUUCAUAUCCGUUAGUAUCGGGUCCAACCCACUAACGUGUCUUUUAUCACCGUUAGUAUCGAGUAUUGACUCACUAACGUGUGUUAUGUUUUUUUUUCACAUCCGUUAGCAUCGGGUUCAACCCACUAACGUGUCUUUUGUAUAUCAUGUUGGGAUUCGGCAGGUUUGGGUUUUAUCCCACUGACCGUUUUUAUUGUCGUUGGGCAUGGGUUUUAUCCCUCCAACCUCGGCAGGCUCGGGUUUUAUCCCACUGACCGUUUUUAUUGUCGUUGGCAUGGAUUUUAUCCCUCCAACCUGCCCUCCAACCUCGGCAGGCUCGGAUUUUAUCCCACAAUCUCGGCAGGCUCGGGUUUUAUCCCACUGACCGUUUUUAUUUUCGUUGGGCAUCGGUUGUAUCCCUCCAUCGCGGCAGGCUCGGGUUUUAUCCCACUGACCAUUUUUAUUUUCGUUGGGCAUGGGUUUUAUCCUUCCAACCUCGACAGGCUCGGGUUUUAUCCCACUGACCGUUUUUUAUUGUCGUUGGGCAUGGGUUGUAUCCCUCCAACCUUGGCAGGCUCGGGUUUUAUCCCACUGACCGUUUUUAUUGUCGUUGGGCAUGGGUUGUAUCUCUCCAACCUCGGCAGGCUCGGGUUUUAUCCCACUGACCGUUUUUUAUUGUCGUUGGGCAUGGGUUGUAUCCCUUCAACCUCGGCAGGCUCGGGUUUUAUCCCACUGACCGUUUUUAUUUUCGUUGGGCAUGGGUUUUAUCCCUCCAACCUCGGCAGGCUCGGGUUUUAUCCCACUGACCGUUUUUAUUUUCGUUGGGCAUGGGUUUUAUCCCUCCAACCUCGUUGGGCAUGGGUUUUAUCCCUCCACCCUCGGCAGGCUCGGAUUUUAUCCCACUGAUCGUUUUAUUUCAUUGGGCAUGGGUUUUAUCCCUCCAACCUUGGCAGGCUCGGGUUUUAUCCCACUGACCGUUUUUAUUUCGGUGGGCAUGGGUUUUAUCCCUCCAACCUCGUUGGGCAUGGGUUUUAUCCCUCCAAUCUCGGCAGGCUCGGGUUUUAUCCCACUGACCGUUUUAUUUCAUUGGGCAUGGGUCUUAUCCCUCCAACCUUGGCAGGCUCGGGUUUUAUCCCACUGACCGUUUUUAUUUCAGUGGGCAUGGGUUUUAUCCCUCCAACCUCGUUGGGCAUGGGUUUUAUCCUUCCAACCUCGGCAGGCUCGGGUUUUAUCCCACUGACCGUUUUAUUUCAUUGGGCAUGGGUUUUAUCCCUCCAACCUUGGCAGGCUCGGGUUUUAUCCCACUGACGAUUUUUAUUUUCGGUGGGCAUGGGUUUUAUCCCUCCAACCUCGGCAGGCUCGGGUUUUAUCCCACUGACCGUUUUUAUUUUCAUUGGGCAUGGGUUUUAUCCCUCCAACCUCGGUAGACUCGGGUUUUAUCCCACUGACCAUUUUUAUUUUCGUUGGGCAUGGGUUUUUAUCCCUCCAACCUUGGCAGGCUCGGGUUUUAUCCCACUGACCGUUUUUAUUGUCGUUGGGCAUGGGUUUUAUCCCUCCAACCUCGGCAGGCUCAGGUCGUAUCCCACUGACCGUUUUUCAUGAUUAUUUGAUUAAUGAUAGUGCUUUAUCAUUCAUUUUGUAUUUCAUGUUUAGAAGUUUUGAGAGUUCAAACUUUUCUGAUUUUUUCAAAGAUCACAGAUGGUCAAUGCACUUGUUUCAUUGUGAUUCACUUAAUUCGAACUACGUUUGACCUGAUUCCCAUGGUGGGAUACGUAGGCAACUCUACAUGGGUUCGGUCACAUUUUCUGCAAUGUUAUUGCAUCAUUUUGUCCAAUAAUUUCAGCCAAGUGUUGGCUUGUUUAUUUUAGCUCAGGUACAGCUAGAAGUGACAGGUAAGCAAUUUGGUGUCUACGUCUUUGUCUUGAGUUUCUUUGAAACUCUAGACAAAGAGGGGCAAGCUGUAGACACCAAAUUUUUGUCAAUUUUUAAUAUUUUCUCAAGAUUUUUCUAUUUAAUGAAUUAUUUAUUUUCUAGCAUUUUAAUGUGCAUUUUUCUCAUUUUUGCAGGUUUGCUUGAAAAAAAAGAAAAAAAAAAAAAAAAAAAAAAACCAAAAAAAAAAAAAAAAAACAAAACAACAAACAACAAAAAGAAAACAAAAAAAAAUCAUCAUAAUCAUUUUCUCUACCAAAAUACAUUUAACCCAUUUCACACUCAAUGGCCAUGGACUGGUCUUUUCAUUAGUUGAGAGAUCAUCAUUUUGGAAGAUUGAGCACACAAACUCCAUUUUGGCUACAAGUAUCUCUCGGCUCUCUUUGGCUGCCAGGGGACAGACACAAAAAAAAAAAACACUCCAGCUCUCAAUAUCGACUCUCUGGCCUCUCUCAGACGGACAUAACAAGAAGAAAAAAAAACACUCCACUCUUUGUGAACUCAAAAAAAAGGAAAAAAACUCUCGGCUCUCUCGGCUCUUUCUUUUUUUAACACACUCCACAAAUCAAACAAGAAGGGGGGGAACUAGCGGUCAGGCCAUUGAAGUUAGGAAUUUCCCCACAAAGCUCAAACGAGUGACUGCAAUAUUCUGGAGGUAGUUUCUUUCUCGUUUUUUUUUUUAGUUUUGUUUUUCACCGUACACUCAUAUUUUGUUGCUUAUUUUCUCCUGUUUGGUUGCCUUUCAGUGUUGUUGUUCUGUUUGUUAAAAUUUUGGGAAAUGGCAUGAGCCAGUUUUAGGAAAAGGAAAUGUUUAUUAUGUAUGCAUAUUAACUGUUUGGUAAAAUGCCGAAAACGGAAAAAUGGAUUAAAAAGCUGAACAUUGUGCAUGUUGUUGUCAAAACGGAUGACCGUUAGCUAGCACCAAUAUCUGAAAAUGUUGGGUUAUUUAAGUAUUUUGAAGUUUUGAGCCUUUAUAGGCAUUGAAAUAUUUUCUUUAUUUUUGGGGCUGUUUUGAUUUAAUGCAUUCUUUUGUUGUUGUUUACUUGUCAAACUAAGAUCAUAGUUGUAUUGUAGAAGUCAUAAGGAGGGUUUUGGCAUAAUUUUUAUGAUUUUUGGUGAAGAUGUGAGGGUUUUAAAAAAUAAAAACUGAACUGAUUUCUUGGCAUUUUGGCCACUUUUGGGUCAUUUUCUAUAAAAACUAAGUCCAAAAAUGGAGUCUGCACGAAAAAUCGAGUGAGGGGGUGUAUUUUGAGCAUUUUUGGUGACCGGAGAGGUCACCGGCGGUGGCGGUCGGCGGCGGCGGCGCCACCGGCGGCGACCAUGGCCGAAGAAGAAGAGAAAAAGAAACGGCUGGAAGUGGAGAAAGGAAGAAAAGAAAAGAAGGAAAGAAAGAAAGAAAAAAGGGGUUUGGGCUAAGGUUAGUUUUUAGGUGGGUUUGUGAUUUUUUUGUUAGGUCUUGGGGAUGGGUUUUGGUUUAUUUUUUCUUUUGGGUUUCGGUUGGGCUAGGAGGUUGGAGCCCAUGUUUUUUUGGCUGGGCUUGAGGGAUAAAAAGGCAGGCUGGCCUGUGUGUUUGGCUUGGAUUUUCGGCUGGGCUUAGGUAGUGUUCGGCCCAAAUAAAUAAAAUGAUGGCCCAGUGGCCUGUUUUCUUAAGAAGAUCAGAAACCGAUUCUUGCACUUUAGCCCCUGAUUUUUGGAGUAGUUUCACUGCGGCCCAGAAUAUUUUAAAUUUAUUUCAUGUAGGUCCUUAUAGUAAUUGCACUUUGGUCCCUGAAUUUUAUCUUUUAUUUAAUUUUGACCCUAAACUUUGAAAAAAUAAUUUUUGUCCCCAAAAGUUUUUCAAUUUUUGCAAUUCAGUCCCUGAUGAAUUUUGACUCUCUUUAUUAUGAUUGUUUCUUUUCUUUAAUAGCUAAUUAUGCUACUUUUGAAUAUACUUAAUUUGGAAAUUUUUUAGAUUUACUUAAAUUUCUUUACGUCUGACAUAUUAGCGUGAAUUUAGUACUUGUAUUAUUAUUUUCUUUUCCAAUUAAAUUGGUGCCAUGAUCCUUUUGUUCAUUGUGAGUAUAAAUAGGACAAUUUGACUCCAUUUAGUCACCACUUCAAACGGGAGGUACCCCUAUUUUAUUAUUUCAAUGUCAAUUACGUGCUCUUAUGUGCUCUUAUGUGUUCCUAUGUGUUUAUAUUUUUAUAUGCUUUAUUUAUUUGAUUUAAAUAUUCAUUCAAAUUUUCUUAUAUAUGUUUUAGUUAAUUUUUACAAUGAUUCAAGAGGCAUUUAAAUACCUCAAAAAAUGUAAUAGAUAGGAUAAUUAGAUUUGUUUUAUUAUAUUUUUCCCUCCUAUAUUGUAGUUAGGCGCUCCCCGAUGUAAUAGAUAAAUUGCGUGUUUAUGUGGCUUAUGUGUUAUGUGUUUUAUCCGCUUUUCUUAGGAUUUUGGCAUCUAGAUAUUAUGCUUACGUGUUAUGUGUUACGUGCUCUUAUGUGUUUAUUUGUUUUAAUUUAUGCUUUAUUUGCUUCACUAUGAAUUGUUAAUGCAUGACGUCACCACACUAGUCCAACGCUAGUUGUGGCUUCUCUCUUCGCUUACUUGCUAGUCCAACGCUAGUAAAGAUUUUUAGAAAUGGGCUAGUCCAAUGCUAGACCCUUUAAGCCUUCUUGCAUUAGAUUCAUCUUUGUGUGAUAUUCAUUACAUUUUUAUUCAUAUUUUCAUUUUUAGGAUCUUUUCUCAUUUGCGUGAUAUUUCCUAUUAUAUUAUCCUCUAUCCUCUAUAUGUGUUAAUCAUGUCAUUUAGAAUUGCAUCUCAUUUAAAUUAGUUCAUUUGCUUGUCUAUGUUAGGAGAAUUAUUUUUCAAACAUGGGAAAUGGGUGAUUAUAACCUUUUAGUUUAAAUACCCUAUCAAUCCAUGUAUAAGAAAAUUAUGUCACGAGUUUUUGCCUCCCGUACCCUUUACGUUGCAUUCCAUUUUUCUUUGAUAACUUAUAUAUAUGUAUAUAAUUUAAUUUAUUUUCUUUUAUUUUAAUUUCAUCAUUCGCAUACUCGUGACACCUUCAAGGAAUUAUUUUGGCCCUCGCAAUUAAUGCGAUUGGUUCAAUUAAACCCUUGAAUGAACAUUUUGUCCCUUUCGAUAUUUUUAUAAAUUUAGAUUUGCAUCCAUGUAGGAAACAUCCAAAUGUGAUAAAAUUAAGGGUUAGAUUAAGAAAAUUUUGAUUAAAUCUCGCAACUAGCUUAGACUAGGUUGAAAGGGUGCCUUAGAUUUGAGUUAAUCGAAUCUUUGCCUUCCCUUUCUUCAACCGUGACUCCCGAAUCUAUUUUAUCUUGUUUUUCAAAGACCUGGAGUUGUCGAAAAGGGUUUUUUUUUUAUUUAUUUUAUUUAAAUACUUUAUUUUUUGGGUGACUUGGUACACCAAAACUCCAUACCAAGUGGCGACUCCUAUUUUUUCUUAAAAACCCUUUUAGACUAAAUUUUGGACCCAAAUUGUCGCAUUCUUUUUAAGUUCCAUUUUAGGUCCUUUUUUAUUUAUUAUUAAUAAAUCACAUCUUUUUAUAAAACACUUUCUUUUCCAUCGCGAAAAAUGGGGCGCGACAUGUAGCAUUUGGAAUGUGAAAAACAGUUUUUCAAAAACAGGGUUUAGGGUUUAGGCUUUUAGGGUUUAGGGUUUAGGGUUUAGGCUUUUAGGGUUUAGGUUUACAUUUAUGUUCAUCUUACAUUGAAUUUUUUAUUGCAUAAUUUCAAAUAAUUAUAAAAUCUUUAUUUCAAUUAAAACUUAAUAGACAACUACUUGAAAUGCCAAAAAAAAUAACUGCUUACAUAUUAUUCAAUCGACUUAGUUAUACAGUUACUUAUAAUAUAAUAGAAUAUUUAAUUAAUUAUUUUAAUAUACCAAAUAAAGUAUUGAACAUUAAAUAAUGAAUAAAUUUUUAAAAGGACUUUUAUUAUAAUUUUAAUAUAUAUAAUAAUUUUCAUCUAUGCAUAAUUCGUUUUUUCGAGUGUCCAAUAUACUUCUUUAUGCAUCUCCACAUUUGCAUUGCUUCUGCUUAUUGUGCGCAGAAAAGUGAACUUUCCACCAUAGAAAUGUAACCAAUGUUUAAUUCUUACCUCCACUUUAAUUCCGUGGAUGGAAGAAUAUUGUCAGAAAUGCAUUCUUCUGUGGCUAAUUGAUUAGAAUAUAGGUGUAAAAAAAAAAAAUCAGACAGGUUUAAAAACAACAGAUAUGUUCCUUUUUUAAAAAAAAGAUAUCAGCCUGGCACCUGACAGAUUCCCUAUUUUUUAAAAAGAUAUCAGGUGCCUUUUUUUAAAAAAAAAAAGAUGUCAGGUGCCGGAUUGGGUCAGCCCAGCACCUUAAUUAAAUACAUUUAAUCAAAUCUCUUUAAAUUAAUUCAUUCAAUUAAUUAAACUAAUUAAUCCACUAAAAUAAUUAAAAUAAUUGUAUACUAAAAAACGUAAACUAAUUAUCAACUAUCUUAACAAAUAAAGUGAAUCGCAUUAAACUAAUAUCAAUAGUUUCGAAAUUAAGCUAUGCGAAUUACAUUAAUUUUAUGUAUUUAUUUUAUUAGCAUGGAUAUUAUUUCAAAUACUUAAAUUGCCCCGACUAAAUGGCUAUCUUAAUCAAAACUCAAUUGCACAAAUUCGUUCAAUUAAUCCAUUCAAUUAAUUAACCUCGCCAAAUACAUCUAAAUUCAUUUAAUCAGACCUCUUAAAAUUAAUUCAUUCAAUUAAUUAAACUAAUUAAUCCACUAAACUAAUUAAAAUAAUUGUAUACUACAUAACGUAAACUAAUUAUCAACUAUCUUAACAAAAAAUGAAUUGCAUUAAACUAAUAUCACUAGUUUCGAAAUUAAGCUAUGCUAAUUACAUUAAUUUUAUAUAUUUAUUUUAUUAGCAUAGGUAUUAUUUCAAAUAUUUAAAUUACCCGGACUAAAUGGCUAACAGUUAUCGUACGUAAAUUUUUCUUUUGGUUCAGCUUUUUUGCUUCACAGGAGCUGCCUUCUUUUCACUUAACAAAUUGCUGAGCUUCUUUUCACUUAACAGGAGCUUUCUUUCCUCCGCAAUUUAGCUUCCAUUCCCAACUCCCUACCGCCUCUACGUAUAUCCAACAGUGCCCCUGUAACCCCUCCUCUUUCUUCCCCAACAAAAAGAAGGCUCUAUAGUUUAGUACCUUGUUUCGCAUUUUUUUUUUCUAAACAAUUUCACUGGCAGCCAGCUUUUUUUUCAGCCUGCCGAAUUUUUUUUUUUUUUUUUUAACAAUUUGACUGGCUACCGGGCAUUGUGCCCCGCAGCCAGCUUUUGCAGACUUUGUCAGGUGCCGGGCUGACACAGCCCGGCACCCAUGUGUCAACUAUAAAAAAAAAAAUUUUUUUUGGUGUCAGGUGCCGGGCUGACACGGCCCGGCACCCAUAGAUUUAUACAACUACCCUGUCAGACCCCCAAGUGUCUGACUUUUCUUUUAUACACCAAUAUUCUAAUCAAUUAGCCGCCUGAAAGCGAUUUACUCCUGUCAAGAUCCCCAGCGUAGUCUGAGUCUACAAAACCAAUCAAAGUGUUAAUAUUUCUUCCAAACUCCAAACAUGCAUUUGAAGUACCUCGCAAGUAUUUGAGAAUCCACUUCACACCCUGCUAAUGUGCUUUACCAGGGCAAGACAUAUAUCUGCUAACAACACUGACUGCAUGUAAGAUAUCUGGACGAGUACAAACCAUUGCAUACAUAACACUGCCGACUGCACUGGAAUAAGGAACUCGUGCCAUAUAAUCUUUCUCUUCAUCUAAUUGUGGUGAUUGAGCAGCAGAUAGCCGAAAAUGGCUAGCAAGAGGAGUAGAUACUGAUUUAGCAUCUUUCAUGCCAAAACGCUCUAAGACUUUCUCAAGGUAAUUUUUCUGGGUCAAGAACAACUUCCUUACUCCUCGAUCUCGCUUGAUAUCUAUGCCAAGAAUUUUCAUAACUGCUCCCAAAUCUUUCAUUUCAAAUUCACUACUUAACUGCAGUUUCAAAGUGUGAAUUUCUGAAAAAUUCUUGGCAGUAAUGAGCAUGUCAUCAACAUACAGUAAUAGAUAGAUAAAAAAGGCAUCAUCUAAUUUUCGGAAGUAAACACAACUAUCAUACAUGCUCCUCAAAUAACCAUGACCCAACAUAAAGGAAUCAAAUCUCUUAUACCACUGUUUUGGAGACUGCUUCAAUCCAUAUAAGAAUUUCUUCAACAAGCAAAUUUGGUCUUCCUUACCUUCAAUCUCAAAACCCUGGGAUUGUUUCAUAUGAAUUUGUUCUUCAAGUUCGCAAUGUAAGAAAGUUGUCUUAACGUCGAACUGUUCUAACUCCAAAUUAUACAUAGCAACUAAAACAAGUAAAACACGAAUAGAGCUAUGUUUAACAACAGGUGAAUACAUCAUUAAAAUCAAUACCUUGUACCUGACUAUAACUCUUUGCAACCAAUCGUGCCUUAUACCUUAUAUUUUCAACCCCUGGAGUACCUUCAUUCUUCUUGAAGAUCCAUUUGCAUCCAACAAUUUUCUUAUCUGAAGGCGAUUUCACAAGAACCCAAGCUUCAUUUCGAUGAAGAGAUUCAAUUUCUUCAUUCAUCGCAAUCAAUCACUUUGCAGAAUCAUCACAAGAAACUACUUCUGAAUAGGUGGAAGGUUUACCAAUUGCAUCAAUUUCUUCUGCAACAGACAAAGCGUAUGCAACUAAAUUUGCAUAUCUUUGUGGUGGUCGAAUAUCUCUUCUUGGUCAAUCUCUGACUAUGAAAUACUUCUCUUCUUCUGAACUAUCUUCAACAGUAGAUUCAGGUGCAUCUACUGGCACUUGCUGAAUAGAAGAUUUAGUCUGAGAAAGAUCAGAACUGCCAAUAUCAUGCUCCACCCGCUUCUGUGUACUAUCAGUAGUACAAAAACUAGAAAACUCCUUCUUGAAAGAUAACAUAGACAAUUCAUCAAAAGUAACAUCUCUACUGAUCACAAAUUUGGGAGAUUUGGGAUUAGGACACCAUAAUAUGUAUUCUUUCACCCCAAAAGUAUAUCCAAGAAAAAUGUACUUUUUAGUCCUAGGCUCCAAUUUUUUAUCAUUCACAUGCAUGUAUGUUGGACACCCAAAAAUUUUUAAAUUAGAGUAAUCAGCAGGAGUAUUUGACCAAAUUUCCUCAGGAGUUUUGAAAUCAAGAGAUGCAGAAGGAGAACGGUUGACAAUAUAAUAGGCCAUAUUGAUCGCCUCUGCCCAAAAGUCGUUUGUCAACCCUACAUUGGAGAUCAUACAUCUCGCUCUCUCUAAAAGCGUUCUAUUCAUACGUUCGGCCACACCAUUUUGUUGAGGCGUCAUUUUGAUAGUGCGAUGCUGAACAAUUCCUUCAUUUUUACAGAAUCUAUCAAAUUCACCUUCACAAAAUUUCAUGCCAUUAUCUGUUCUCAACCGCUUAAUAUGUUUUCCUGUUUAUUUUUCAAUCAAAACUUUCCAUUGUUUGAAAGUUAGGAAAACAUCAUUUUUAUACUUAAGAAAAUAUACCCAAACUUUCCUUGAAUAAUUGUGAGGACCCGUAAUUUUCUGAAUUUUUAGGUUUUAUUUUCUUUUAAUUGCACGUUUUUACACAUUUUUUUCAUUCGAAAAAAUUUUAAAAAUAAUUUUUAUGAGUAAAUAUAAUUUUUAAAUGAUUUUUCUAGUAUCGAUUAAUUUUUGAGAAAUUAAGAGCGUAUACCGGAUGUGGGACCCGCUAGUGCGAAAAGUUCAAAAAAAUUCGGCCCGUUAGUUUAGGUUUUGGAUAUUGGGUUUAAUUUACCGGGUGUUAUGAGAUAAUUAGAUAUUGUUGUAUGGAUAAGAGUGGAGAGACAAAAGGAUAACCUAACAUUAAAGAGAGGGACAAAUGUCACUUUGCUAUUGGAUUUGGAAUUUAACCAUAAGACCAUCUUACCACCUUUACCAAAUAAAUACCAAAAAAUUGGCCAAAAAUCCUCUUAUUUUUCCCUCUCUUGGCCGAAUUUCUUGGAGAACAAAAGAAAGAAAAGCUAUCAAAUUUCUUCUAGUCAAUCUUGCUCAAUCUCACAACUUAACCGAUAAAACUUCAAAUCACUCCAGAAAAAUCCUUAGCUAGGUGGUAGUGAAAUAAUAGGUGAAGUGGUUUGAAAGAUAGUGGUAUAAAUUGCUUCAUUUCUUGAGAUUUCAAGGUGAGUAGUCAAGAAAUUCCAUCUUUGGUUUUGAUAAUGAUAAAUUCAUGACUUGUGAAGGUUAGUUAGGUGAUUUUGUGGAGGUUUUCAUAACUUUUGGUGGUGUUUGAUGAAUUUUUGAUUUUAUGAAAUUUUUUUCUGUUUUUAUAUGUUUAAUGUUGUUUGGCCAUGUAUGAUGGUCUAGUAUGGGUUAGAAUGAAGAUUUGGUAUGAUAAUUGUAAUGAUUAGUGGAAAAUUUCUAGUUUGAAACAAAAAUUCCAGAUUAGGGUUUCUAUGAAGCCUGUUCUGCCCGGUACUAUUCGACUAGGCUAGAGAUCGAAUUAGUCCUGGGUUAAAACAUAAAAGUUGUAGAGGAUGGCAUUUUAUAGUUUCCUGCAAAAAUUUCAACUAAAUCGGAGCAACGUAGCCUCUGAAAAGACCGAAAUACCCCUGCUGCCCUGUUUAUGUCCGAACCUGCUAAUCUGCUUCUGUAAUUGGUUCGUUUGACCAGGAAUAUUACUGAUUUGGUUGAUAAUGUCUUCUUAAGACUUAUACCCUUGUAUCUUAGCUUUCAAAUGGCUUUGGAAUCACUUGAAUUGGAGUUGUAUAUGCUGAGAUAUGACUGAAUGAAUCCGGACUGCCAUAGUAAACUUCGAAUUGGAAAAUCUGGGGUUGUUUUGGUAAAUUUGACUUAGAUACAUUGCAAACUGAACUGAGUGGCUUUCUUCAACAUUGUAACCCUUUCUCUUAGCUUCAAAACGGUGUAAAUUACACCUCAAUCCGAUGAGGAUAGCUUCAGUUGUGUUAAUUCCGCUAAGCAACAACAAAUCUGCCUUUUGUUUUCCAACCCAAAAUUCGUUUCCGCAUAUGUCCUAGUUUGAUUUUUCACUUAUACGUUCCAUGUGAUUUUACUCUAGUGAUAUGUGGAUUUGGUUUAUGACUCGUAUUCGAGCCUUAUGGUGGCUCUAAUUAAAGAUGUUUGAUAGCUUGUGAUUUGUGGGUGUUGAGGUUUGGUUGGAAAGUAAAGAAAGACAACGGAAAUGCUGUCAAAAUUUUCGCGGAGCUUCUGCACAGUCUCGGGAAAUUUACUAUAUCUUGAUGUAGGAAUGUCGGAAUUGAGUUUCGUUUAUUGCGUUUUAAACUAGAUUCAUAGGGCUAUAAACUGUAUAAAUUUUGGACCCUGUUUAUGUCUGAACCAUUUAUGGUGAUUUUUCAAAGUUGACUGAAAUAUUGUACCUGUUCUAUUUUUCACUGGAUAAAGCAGCAAUUUGAAACUUGAAUUUGACUGACUUGUGUUCUGAAUUUUAUAAGGAUGUUUUCUGAAAAGUUAUAGCCCUUUGAAUGUAUUUUCCAAGGGUAUAACUUUUACUAAUUUUGGACUUACAAAACUUGAGAUAUGAAUUUUCAUAUAGGGUUGCGCGAAACUGGAAAAUCCUGUUUUCCUAGUAUUGAUCUUGCUUUAAUUAUCUACUUCAAAUUUGGAAUUGGUCAGUCAUUGUAGGUAGGGCUUUGAGGUUGUUCAUGCCUUUAAGACUAAUUGUUACCUUUUCACUCCGAGGUCACCUCUUUGCUUUGUAUUAAUGGUUCUUUUGACUAGGCAUAUGGCUCGUAACCGAGUCUCACUUGCGAAUUCCAUACUCGGUCUUGGAGUCGAGUUUUAAGUGUUUGUCUUGAUUGUUCUAGGAGGUGCCGGCGAGUAAAGCCACACUUGGGAAGGAAACUUUUAAAAUUAUCCUUGUUUGAUCAGGUGAGUGUACCACUCCCCUGAAUUAUUGCUAAACUGGUUUCCUGUACUUGCCAAUUGCUAGUUGAAUGUCUUUCCUGACUGUUUAUCUUGUAUGAGAUGAGGGUGUACUUUAUCACUCUCGUUCUCUUGCCUAUACGGAACAAACUGGAAUCUAUUACUUGUACUUGUCAUGUAUUUGAACUUGUUACUUGCACUUGUUAUGAUGUCGUUUGGAAGAGUAUCCAAUGACCUUCCUGUUAAACCUGAGCUCAACCUCAUGGAGAGUUAAUUAAAUCGAGCCAGCGAGGGCUUGGUCGAGAUAAUUGACAAAUCAUGGGUACCUGUUCCUGGGGGAAUCUUUGGGUAUUGAGACUCUUGAUUCCAGUAUACUCGAGUAUUACCAUUCCUGUUCCUGUUUGGCGUUCGGGUCCGGUAAGGGGUAUGUUUGGUGUACGGGAUUUUGGUGUUAAAGUGGUGAUCUACUGGACUGGUUCCUUUAUUAGAACGUUGACAGAGGGUCAACAAGACUGGAUCAAGUAUAGCAACGGGGAUUUGGCUCCUGAGAGCCACCUGUAUCCUUUACAUUGUGACAUUCAUUUAUUUCUCGUAUUUGAUGUGAAUAUGUGCCUCCAAAGUACUUUCACAUGAAUUCUACUGAUUCUACUGUUUAUACUGUUGGUACCUCAUUGAGUUUGUAGCUCACUCCGUUCCGUUAUCCUUGUUUUUCUUACAGAAAAUCACUUUUUGAAGACUAUGAUGUUUUGAAGCAUGAGUUGAGCUAGUUUAGUAUUCUUUUGUAUAGCUUCUCGAUGGUUGGAAAACCUUAAAUGUAUUUUAACCAAACAAUUCCCUUUUGAAUUGUAAAUUUGCAACCAUGUGUAUAUAAAAGUGUUUAACCAUGUUCCUAAGUUGAUUGGGUUUGGAAAUGUUCUUUUCUAGGGUUAUCUAAAGUUGUUGUGCUUGGUUGGGUUUCAGACAGUGAAUGUUAUCUUCUUGAAGUUCUUUUGAGCAGUUGGUAGGGUUUACGCUUGUUCCGGAUCCGUAGUCCCGACUAGAGUUGGGCAGGCGGUCCGUCGAACCCUUUGGUUCGCCUUAGGGGGAGGUGGGGCUGUCACAGGUGGUAUCAGAGCUGCUUCGCGUGGUCUCUGCGCGGAGUGAGUUUGGGCCAAGUGGUUUUAUGGUCCCUAUUCCGUGAAUGUGUACGAAUGUUUAAGUGCUCUUUUGAGCAUAAGCUUUGGAUCAUGAAAUGUUAUAGGUUUUAAACAUUUAUCAUGGUACUUGGAGCCAAUAGAUCUGUAGGUCUAGUAAGAAUCUCGAUUGCAGAUGAAUUACUCUUGGGACUAGCCAGCCCGAGUUGUGAAUUAUCUUAUUUUGGGAUUCUUGUGCCCGACUACUAAAUAGACGAGAGCCUAGGUUAGAAAUGACUUGGGCGGAUUAGAAAUUCGAUUCUAUGGAACGUCAUGUGAUGUGUUAGGGUUUCAUUACGAAUGAUUAACCACGCCUAAGAUAUAAAUUGUAUUAUUCUUGUAGAUUGUGCCCGAAACCCUAAAGAGGGGCAGUUUUUAGUUGGUUGCUCUUGUACCAUUAGCUUAGUUAGUAUCACGAAGGAUGUUUCCUUUUGCUUGUAUCUAAUUGACUGCUACUGUGUGAUCUGUUUGUGUUAGAUGUGUUAUAUGUAUAUUGCCUACUUUUAUCACUUGCACCUGCAUACUUUGGUUUUAAUACCAUAUUCGUGGUCCAACCCUAAACUGGUUAAGCCAUAUGGUAGGCACCCAUAGUGGACGUGGUCAUGGUCUCGAAAUUAGGCAACCCACGACUGAAGGAGAUACUAGGGAAAUUACGUCUGAACCAAACCCUGAACCUAGGGUUGAUCUGAACGUACAAGUGGCCGCAGCCAUUCAACGAAUGACUGACCUGUUAGCUCACAUAGUAGAACAUCAAGGUCAAAAUCCUAUUCAUCAGCCGAAAAAUCCUGGUAAUCAUACCGAGGGUGAGGAUAAAGCUCUUGAACGAUUUCAGAAGUUCUCGCCAUCGAAAUUCCUGGGAGGACCAGACCCUGACGUAGCCGAGAGAUGGCUAGAAAAGAUGAUUGAUAUAUUUACCGCGUUACAUUAUACUGAGGAGCGACAUGUCACAUUUGCUGUCUUCCAACUGGAGGGAGUAGCCUGUUCUUGGUGGAACAUUAUAAGACUGAAAUGGGAAAGAGAACAAACCCCAAGGACGUGGGUGAAUUUCAUGAGAGAGUUCAACACGAAGUAUUUUUCACCCCUGAUCCAGGAAAAGAAAGAAGAUGAAUUUAUUAGGCUCCGCCAGGGAACUCAAGCCGUCGCUGAAUAUGAGAGCCAGUUCACCAGGUUAUCCAAGUUCGCUCCCGAGUUAAUCGAGACUGAGCAAAGGAGGAUAAGGCGUUUUGUCCAAGGAUUAAACGUUGAGAUUCAGAAGGACCUGGCUGUAGCCCAACUCCAUACCUUUAGUGAUGCGGUGGAGAAAGCUCAACGAGUGGAAAGUGCAAGAUUUCAAGUUAGAAAUUUUCAAGCAAAGAAAAGGGGAUUUCCUGAAAGUAGCUCAGAGCAAGAGGAUAAGGGUACACUUCCUAAGAUUGGAAGGGGAAACGGGGGAGUUCAAGUACCGAGGAUAUCAAGUGGUGCCUCACAGAGAGGCUCAGUCUCCAUUUCUCGUGGUCCCUGCGGGUACUGUGGGAAGCCGAAUCACACGGAGAACGUCUGCUGGAAGAAAGGAAGAAAAUGUCUGCAUUGUGGGAGCGCAGACCAUCAAAUCGCAAAUUGCCCAGGCCGAUCGCGAGAAAGGAGUAGGAGCCAACAGCCAAUCGCGACCAACCCCGACCAGUCAAAGGGGGAAAAGAAUGGAUCGAAAGUGUCAGCUCGGGUGUACUCCUUAGAACAACAUCAAGUCUCUGACCCAUUUGAGAACGUGGAAGGUAAGAUUCUGGUAUUCCACCAUUUGCCACUGUUUGCAAUUUGGGAAGGAAGAAUUCAAUGAGUCUGGCCAGUGAAGGGAUACAGAUUGGUUAGCUAAGUAUGAUACUCCAUUUACCUGUGAGAAGGAAGUAGAAAAUGUUUGCAUCCCGGAGAAGGCGAUGAUAAGGAAUUUCGAGGAAGAAAUUUUUUUAAGGGGGAGAGAGUGUGAGGACCCGUAAUUUUCUGAAUUUCUAGGUUUUAUUUUCUUUUAAUUGCACGUUUUUCCACAUUUUCUUUAUUCGAAAAAAUUUUAAAAAUAAUUUUUAUGAGUAAAUAUAGUUUUUAAAUGAUUUUUCUAGUAUCGAUUAGUUUUUGAGAAAUUAAGAGCGUAUACCGGACGUGGGACCCGCUAGUGCGAAAAGUUUGGAAAAAUUCGGCCCGUUAGGUUAGGUUUUGGAUACUGGGUUUAAUUUAUCGGGUGUUAUGAGAUAAUUAGAGAUUGUUGUAUGGAUAAGAGUGGAGAGACAAAAGGAUAACCUAGCAUUAAAGAGAGGGACAAAUGUCACUUUGCUAUUGGAUUUGGAAUUUGACCAUAAGACCAUCUUACCACAUUUACCAAAUAAAUACCAAAAAAUUGGCCAAAAAUCUUCUUAUUUUUCCCUCUCUUGGCCGAAUUUCUUGGAAAACAAAAGAAAGAAAAGCUAUCAAAUUUCUUCUAGUCAAUCUUGCUCAAUCUCACAACUUAACCGAUAAAACUUCAAAUCAUUCCAUAAAAACCCUUAGCUAGGUGGUAGUGAAGUAAUAGGUGAAGUGGUUUGAAAGAUAGUGGUGUAAGUUGCUUCCUUUCUUGAGAUUUCAAGGUGAGUAGUCAAGAAAUUCCAUCUUUGGCUUUGAUAAUGAUAAAUUCAUGACUUGUGAAGGUUAGUUAGGUGAUUUUGUGGAGGUUUUCAUGACUUUUGGUGGUGUUUGAUGAAUUUUUUAUUUUAUGCAAAAUUUUUCUGUUUUUAUAUGUUUAAUGUUGUUUGGCCAUGUAUGAUGGUCUAGUAUAGGUUAGAAUGAAGAUUUGGUAUGAUAAUUGUAAUGAUUAGUGGAAAAUUUCUGGUUUGAAGCAAAAAUUCCAGAUUAGGGUUUCUAUGAAGCCUGUUCUGCCCGGUACUAUUCGACAAGGUUAGAGGCUGAAUUAGCCUUGGAUUAAAACAUGAAAGUUGUAGAGGAUGGUAUUUUAUAGUUGUCAACAAAAUUUCAGCUCAAUCGGAGCAACAUAGCCUGUGAAAAGACCAAAAUACCCCUACUACCCUGUUUAUGUCCAAACCUGCUAAUCUGCUUCUGUAAUUGGUUAGUUUGACCAGGAAUACUACUGAUUUGGUUGAUGAUGUCUUCUUAAGAUUUAUAUACUUGUAUCUUAGCUUUCAAAUGGCUUUGGAAUCACUUGAAUUGGAGUUGUAUAUGCUGAGAUAUGACUGAAUGAAUCCGGACUACCACAGUAAACUUCGAAUUGGAAAAUCUGGGGUUGUUUUGGUAAAUUUGACUUAGAUACAUUGCAAACUGGACUGAGUGGUCUUCUUCAACAUUGUAACUCUUUCUCUUAGCUUCAAAACGGUGAAAUUACACCUCAAUCCGAUGAGGAUAGCUUCAGUUGUGUUAAUUCCGCUAAACAACAGCAAAUCUGCCUUUUGUUUUCCAACCCAAACUUCGUUUCCGCAUAUGUCCUAGUUUGAUUUUUCACUUAUACGUUCCAUGUGAUUUUAUUCUAGUGAUAUGUGGAUUUGGUUUAUUACUCGUAUUCGAGCCUUAUGGUGGCUCUAAUUAAAGGUGUUUGAUAGCUUGUGAUUUGUGGGUGUUGAGGUUUGGUUGGAAAGUAAAGAAAGACAAGGGAAAUGCUAUCAAAAUUUUCGCGGAGCUUCUGCACAGUUUCGGGAAAUUUACUAUAUCUUGAUGUAGGAAUGUCAGAAUUGAGUUCCGUUUAUUGUGUUUUAAACUAGAUUCAUAGGGCUAUAAACUGUAUAAAUUUUGGACCCUGUUUAUGUCUGUACCAUUUAUGGUGAUUUUUCAAAGUUGACUGAAAUAUUGUACCUGUUCUGUUUUUCACUGGAUAAAGUAGCAAUUUGAAGCUUGAAUUUGAUUGACUUGUGUUCUGAAUCUUAUAAGGAUGUUUUCUGGAAAGUUAUAGCCCUUUGAAUGUAUUUUUCAACGGUAUAACUUUUACUAAUUUUGGACUUACAAAACUUGAGAUAUGAUUUUUCAUAUAGGGUUGAUCGAAACUGGAAAAUCCUGUUUUCCUAGUAUUGAUCUUGCUUUCAUUAUCUACUUCAAAUUUGGAAUUGGUCAGUCAUUGUAGGUAGGCCUUUGAGGUUGUUCAUGCCUUUAAGACUAAUUGUUAUCUUUUCACUCCGAGGUCACCUCUUUGCUUUGCAUUAAUGGUUCUUUUGACUAGGCAUAUGGCUCGUAACCGAGUCUCACUUGCGAAUUCCAUACUCGGUCUUGGAGUCGAGUCUUAAGUGUUUGUCUUGAUUGUUCUAGGAGGUGCCGGCGAGUAAAGCCACAUUUGGGAAGAAACAUUUGAAAUUAUCCUUGUUUGAUCAGGUGAGUGUACAACUUCCCUGAAUUAUUGCUAAACUGAUUUCCUGUACUUGCCAAUUGCUAGUUGAAUGUCUUUCCUGACUGUUUAUCUUGUAUGAGACGAGGGUGUAUUUUAUCACACUCAUUCUCUUGCCUGUACGGAACAAAUUGGAAUCUAUUACUUGUACUUGUCAUGUACUUGAACUUGUUACUUGCACUUGUUAUGAUGUCGUUUGGAAGAGUAUCCAACGACCUUCCUGUUAAACCUGAGCUCAACCUCAUGGAGAGUUAAUUAAAUCGAGCCAGCGAGAGCUUGGUCGAGAUAAUUGACAAACCAUGGGUGCCCGUUCUUGGGGGAAUCUUUGGGUAUUGAGACUCUUGAUUCCAGUAUACUCGAGUAUUACCAUUCUUGUUCCUGUUUGACGUUCGGGUCCGGUGAGGGGUAUGUUUGGUGUACGGAAUUUUGGCGUUAAAGUGGUGAUCUACUGGACUGGUUCCUUUAUUUGAACGUUGACGGAGGGUCAACAAGACUAGAUCAAGUAUAGCAACGGGGAUUUGGCUCCUGAGAGCCACCUGUAUCCUUUACAUUGUGACAUUCAUUUAUUUCUCGUAUUUGAUAUGAAUAUGUGCCUCCAAAGUGCUUUCACAUGAAUUCUACUGAUUCUACUGUUUAUACUGUUGGUACCUCAUUGAGUUUCUAUCUCACCCCGUUCCGUUAUCCUUGUUUUCCUUACAGGAAAUCACCUUUUGAAGACUAUGAUGUUUUGAAGCAUGAGUUGAGCUAGUUUAGUAUUCUUUUGUAUAGAUCCUCGAUGGUUGGAAAAUCUUAAAUGUAUUUUAACCAAACAAUUCCCUUUUGAAUUGUAAAUUUGCAACCAUGUGUAUAUAAAAGUGUUUAACUAUGGUCCCAAGUUGAUUGGGUUUUGGAAAUGUUCUUUUCUAGGGUUAUCUAAAGUUGUUGUGCUUGGUUGGGUUUUGGACAGUGAAUGUUAUCUUCUCGAAGUUCUUUUGAGAGGUUUGUAGGGUUUACGCUCGUUCCGGAUCCGUAGUCCCGGCGAAAGCUGGGCAGGCGGUCCGCCGAACCCUUUGGUUCGCCUUAGGGGGAGAUUGGGCUGUCACAAUAAUCAUCAAUAAAAGUCAGCAUGUACCUGACACCUCUUUUAGAAGGAGCACGAGAAGGCCCCUAGAGGUCUGAAUGAAUAUAGUCCAGAGUUCCUUUUGUCCUGUGAACUGCCGGCAACUGGAAGCUAACUCUUUUCUACUUUUCAAAAUUGCAAUGUUCAUAGAAUCCCAUCUUUCCAAUACUUUGACUACCAAGAAGACCUUAUUUGCAUAAAAUAGAUAAGCUUUUCUCGCUCAUGUGCCCCAAUCUCAUGUGUCACAAUUUGGUGAAAUCAGAAUUAGACAAAGUUGAUGUUGAAACAGCAGCAGCACUUGUAACAGUAGAUUCCUACAAAAUAUACAAAGUACCAGAUUUGUGUGCCUUCAUAACAACAAGAGCACCUCGAGUGAUUUUGAGAAUUCCACCUCCAACUGAAUACCUGCACCCAAUAGACUCAAGAGUGCCCAAAGAGAUCAGAUUUUUCUUCAAAUCUGGAACAUGUCUAACAUCUGUGAGCGUCCUCACAAUACCAUCGUACAUUUUAAUCCGAAUUGUGCCUUUGCCAACAACUUUACGAACAGCGUUGUUACCCAUUAAGACAACUCCACUUUCAGUUGAUUCAUAUGUUGAAAACCAAUCCCUAUUGGGACACAUAUGAUAUGAAUAACUCGAAUCUAAAAUCCACUCAUUGUUAGACCUAAAAUUAUUUUUUGUUGCACAGAAAAUAGUUCCAUCAUUCUCAUCAACUGCAAUAUUAGGUCUCACUCUUUUUCUCCUUUUGCUUUUCUUUAUUUUUCAAUUUAAAGCAAUCAGAGAUAACAUGACCCUUCUUUUUACAAUAGUUGCACACCACAUUUUUAUGUUUGGAUUUGGAUCUACUUCUAUUUUCUGUAUUUCUCUUUUCAGAUCUACUCCGAACAAAUAAGUUUUUCCAGUAAUAUCCCUAUCUAUCUGCUCUUUAGAUUUUAAUGCAGAUUUAAUUUUUCGAUACGAAAUUAUUUUCUUUCCAUAAAUCAUAGUAUCACGGAAAUACUUAAAGGACUAGAGAAGGGAACACAAAAGUAAUAGGCUCUGAUCUUCAUCAUCAAUUUUCGAAUCUAUAUUCUCCAAAUCCAUAAUAAUGGAAUCAAAUUUAUCAAGAUGGGAGAGUAUAGAUGUACCUUCAUUCAUCCGAAACAUAUACAAACUUUGCUUCAAAUAUAGCCGAUUCUCAACAGUCUUCUUCAUAUACAAGACUUUCAAUUUGUCCCACAUAACCUUGGUUGUAGUCUCUGUUGCUACCUCACGCAAUAUCUCAUCGGAGAGAUUUAAGAUUAUGCUGGAUCUGACCUUUUUAUCCAUAUCGGCGAAAUCCGCAUCCUUUAUAUCUUUUGGCUUGUUCUCAAUUCCCUGAAUUGCCAAAUCAACUCCGUCUUGAAUCAGAAUGGCCUCCAUCUUGAGUUGUCACAUGCCAAAAUUGACAUUCCUGUCAAAUUUUUCGACAAUCGUCUUUGUUAUCGUCAUUAUUGCCACAAAAUCUGUAACCUGAAACUUGUCUCAAAAACUGGUCAAAUAAAUAUGCAAGUCUCGUGAGCGGGCCUCACAGGGUGAGCGGACCUCACAGGGUGAGCGGACCCAGGGGAAGAGCUGGCCCCAUGGGAUGAGCGGGCUCCACAGGGUGAGCGGACCCACAGAGUGAGCGGACCCCAAGAGAUGAGCGGGCCCCACGAGAUGAACCUAUUUUACAAAAUAUAUCAACCAGCUCUGAUACCA
rnacentral:lncRNA from 1 species